rnacentral:lncRNA from 1 species
CACGUAUACUUUAAUCUCCUUUUGCAUCAUGUUGUGAAAUAGGGCCAUCAUGGCCCUUUGGUAGGUGGAUCCAACAUUCUUUAACCUAAAUAUCAUGACUUUGUAGCAAAAGGUUCCCUAUGGUGUUACAAAGGUUAUCUUUUCCUUAUCCUAUUGUGCCAUUUUCAUUUGUUUGUAGCCCGAAAAUCCAUCCAUAGAGUAAUAUGGAUCGACCAACACAUCUAUAUGUGGUAGAGGAAAAUUAUCCUUAGAACUAAACCGGUUUAAGUCCCUAAAGUCCAAAUAUUGAUUUUAUCCUUUUUUUUUGGCACGACAACUAUGUUGGACACCUAUUGUGGAUACUUGACUAUUUUUAGAAAAUCGGUGUUCCACUGCUUUUUAAUUUUUGCCUUUAUUCGAAUUGGUCCUUCUCAACCUUUGCUUAACCGACUUGCAUCCUUCUACUAGUGGUAUCCUAUACAAACCAGGCAUAUCCUUGUAGGACUAGAAAAAAAAUCUACAUAAUCUUGGAGUAGUGCAAUUAACUUUUCUCCUUCUUUUAGAGGUGAUCAAAGUCCCUAUCUUCAACUCUCUCUUGAUUUUUUCAUUGCCCACAUCUAUGGUUUCAAAUUCCUCUUUAGCGGGUUUCCAAGCUUGUUCAUGUUGUUCUUAUUAAUUUUUAUGAAUCCCCUAAUGUUAUUUCCCUCUCAUUCUUCUUCUUCUACAACUAAUAUGUAUUCUUUAAAGUUCGGCCAUUCAUUCUAAGUGUAAAGUGCAGGUGUUGUUAUGAAAGAUCCGCUUUGAAAACGGAAAGUGAUGUGUAAAAACAUCAAGAUGAACUUUUAAAAAUGCAUGAUCUCAUUAAAAGGAAAAGUUUGGCUAAAAAAAAAAAACAAGGAUAAAAUCCAAUUGACAUUUGGAAACUCGAUUUAAAAAGCUGAAAAAGGCAAACAAUAUAAUAUCAUGAUCAAACAAGCAUUGUUGAUUAAAUUUUGAACACCAAUGGAGCUUCUUGGGUCUCCCAAUUCUGGAACAUCUCUCCUUUGGCUAGCUUUUGAAUGAAGGUCUUGAGAUUCAAGAUGUUUUGAGCUUAGGCUUGUUUGGAUGCAAAAUGAUAUUGUGGAGCAUACAUCCUAAGGAUAGGUUCUAGUUCCUUUAUGUGAGACAUAGGGUAGGUUUACUACUUGGUCUCUAAAAAGAGUCUCUUGCUGUCCUAGUGAUCACCCUCGUAAAGGCAAUAUAGGGGUUCAGCAGAUAGUGGGAUGACACAUGUACCAAUCACUAUCAGUCUAAACACUCAGCAAAGAGUUGGGGUUUACACAAACUUAAACCUUGACUCAAGUCAUAAGGCAAGCUGCUAGUCCCCCACUUAACUUAAAGUUUAAUGUGUGUGCUCUCCAAAAAGAAAAUAAUAGUAAAGUGAUGAAUGACUACAUCAUGUAUGACAGAAUGUAAAGAUGUAUGCUAAAGCUUUUAAACAAAUUAUCAUUCAUAGUAAAAAAACAACAACACAUAGCAUAAUAACAAAAACAAUUACCAAGCUUAGUCCAAGGAUCCCCAGUGGAGUCGCCAUCCUGUUGCACGUCCCCCGCGCGGCGUCUGAUGGCGAUUUUUUGUUUGAUUUCAAGUUUAUUUGUUUUUGUGACUAAAGGAGUCGCCACCUAGUAUUAUGGUCACUAGGAAACCUAACUGGUCUUUCAGAGAUUCUAAGGCAAGGGACUGGUUGCGUAAAGGGAAGGUAUUAGCACCCCUAGUACGCCCUACCUAAGGUAAGCUGCUUGGUGUUUGGUUUGCCUUAUAAUAGCUAUGGUGUUGGUGUUUUCUAAUGUCAUUGCUAACGUCAGCAUUUGAACAUAUUUUCAUCAUGAAAGUUCUAGGAAAUUAUCUAAGCUUUCCAAAAAAAAAAAAACAAUCGGUGCAUUUAAACUUCUAGAACUCGAGAUAUGGGCUGAACACUGAACAAUGUCUGGGCUGCAGGACAAAUUUCGACUUCUCCUUUGUUGCUACAAUUUGAACUUGAAAAUGACCUUUUAAAAUCUUGCACUCCUAUAAAAGUUUUAGGCCUAUGUCUUAGCUUUCUAGCCAUGUAAACCAAACUGAAAUCCAAGAUCUACAGCUCCAGAUAUGACCCAAUGACUGAACAGUGUUCCAGUUUGGACUAAACCAGCAUCUCUUUUCUAAGCUUAACCCUCUCUGUCUUCUCAAUUUCAGUAGUUAAAAUCAUCAAUCAAUCCUUUCAUUUAUGUGAUAGGCCUGCAUUUAAGAUGAACAUUUACCAUAAAUUAAAGUUAUCUUAUAGUAUUAGACAUGAUAUUAUAAAACAUGCUCUAGUUAAGGAGUUAUUGAUACUUCAAGUGCAAAAUGAUGAUAUAAAACCUUGAUAAAAAUGCACUUUUAAGUGCUAAUAAAAAAUGCAAGAACAUGUUUCUGCAUGUAUUUCGGGAUUUAAUAGUUGAUUUAUUAAAGAUUUAAGAAUUUGGUUCAUAUUUUACUUUUUUUAAAUCACAUCAAAUCACAAAUUAAGCAGCUUACCUCAAGUAGGAUGCGCUAGGGGUGCUAAUACCUUCCCUAGUCACAACCAGUCCCUUACCUUCGAAUCUCUGACAACGACCAGUACAUCCGGGUUUCCUAAUAACCCUCAAUCAAAUACUAGGUGGCGACUUCCAAAUCAAGUAAAAGAACAAAAAUCGCCAUCGAUGCCGCACGAGGGACGUGCGACAUGCUUCAUACCAAAAAUCAUGCAACCUACUUCCACAGUGACAAAUUAGAUUUUAAAACAUAAUGUUUUUUUUAAAAAAAAUAUCGUAUUUUUUUCGGUGUCAUACCUAGUUGCUGAGUGAUUUUCCCAUACCCUCCUCACAACAUUGUCAAGCGCAGUGUCUCAAUCGAAUUUGUCCUGUGUAUAAACAAUUUAUUUAAAAUAAAAAUAAUAAUUUAUUUACAAUUAUAAUAAUAAUUUAUUAAAAAUAAGCUGGAAAUUAGAAAUUAACACCAACCUUAAAUUUGUCAAACCAUGCAUCGAUAUAAGGUCUCCAUUCAGGAUGUCUGGAAACCUGACUCCAUUGAAAUAAUGGAAUCUCCAUCGACGAUUUAAACGCCGAUAAUAUUAGUCGGGCGGCCUCAAUGUUUGUGAACCUGAAAAUAAAUUAAAUUAAUGAAAUAUUAAUUAGUUAUUCAUAAAUUAUGUUAUAAUUAAAAAAAAACUAAAACCAAAACAAACUUACAUUGAAAGGUCGUUCUUCCAAUGUGCCUCGUACUUGCGAGUGAAUUGAUUCCGCUGUGAAGGCACAUCUCCUCUGCGCUGUGAAAUCGUGCUGGGAGAGGUAGCAUCGUGAGUCGGCGUAGGUGCCUCUUCUUGAUUGUUACCUAAGGACAUGUCAUCCUCACUACUAGAAGAACUAGUUGCGACCAUAUGUGAGCGACAAGCUGUUGAUUUCAUUCUACGCGUCUAAACAAUUUUAUACGAAUAAUUACAUAAUUAAAUUCAAUUGUUAAAAAAAAUUCGGCAGCACCUCCCCUAUACUGGAGACUACCCAAAGUUUUCAAACCUGCAAAUAUUGACAAUAGCCACAACCAAUUGACCCCAUUCAAAAAUCUUAUAUAUAACAUAACAUCUAUACAAAUAACAAUUAAAAUUAAUGGAAAUAAUUAAACACAUAUCAUGCAAUAAUAGAGUAAAAUUAAAAUUUAUUUCUAUAUAUUCAAUUACUAAUUACAAGGUAAAUUCAACAAUAACAAUUAAAAUUCAACAAAGUAUUCAAUUAUUAUGGCAAUACAAACAAUAAAAUAUAUUCAACAAAUUACAAAAAAAAACUAUAGACUUUAGGAAUGAAAAAUGCUUACCUUAAUAAUGUGUUUAUUUCAAGACUUUAUCUACAUUAUAAAAAUACACCAAAACAAAAAACACAAUAAAAAUAACAAUAAUUAAAAAAAAUAAAAUAUAAAAAAAUAAAAUCAUUAAGUAUAUUAAAUGAAAAUACAUACUUUUUAAUUUUUUGAAGAUAUAACUAGAGAUUCCAAGAAAAAUCAAGAGAUUUAAAGCAAAUGAGUUGAUAGCUAACUCUACAUUUACUGAGUCCAAUAUGUGAACCUUGAGAGGUAAUAAAGGUCAUGCCCUAUUAAAUGAAAGACUUGACACGGUUUUCUGUCUUUUCUAUGCCCAGCAAACAGCUCUGUUAGAUGAUUUGAUACAUCAUGAAAUGAAUUGAUUUUGUGACGUUCUCAGAAAAAUAACAAUGUAUAUGAUUGAACCCAUGGAAUCUUUAAAAUUUAAGGUCAAGUCUAUGUUCAUGUUCAGCAUCUUUUGUUAAUCUUUUGCAUUUAAUAAAAGCUAAAGCAUCAGUAUGAAGGCCAAAAGCUGAUAGCUUACCCUCCAUUUCUUGGGUCCAAUCAGAAAGUGAACAUUGAGAAGAAAUAAUGCAUCUUUAAAAUUUAUGGUCAAGUCUUUGUUAAUGUUCAGCACUAAACCAUAUUAGCAAUGUAAUAAUAAUUUUAUUUUAAUCAUAUAACAAUACAAUACGGAACAGUUGAUUGAUUUUACUUAGAAUAUAACACAACAAAUCAUAGUAUAGCAAUGCGUACCUUAACCACACAUAUAAUCAAGAAUCAUGUUUGGAGAAACCAUCUAGUAGGUGACCCAGUGGUAAUAGCUUGGGACCAAGAAGUUUGCUUUCCCUGUGGUCUCAGAUUCGAGUCCUGUGGUUGCUAAUAUGAUGGCCACUGGAGGUUUACAUGGUCGUUAACUUCAGGGCCCGUGAGAUUAGUCGAGGUGCGGGCAAGCUGGCCCGGACAUCCAUGUUAAUAAAAAAAAAAAAGAAUCAUGUUUGGGGAACCUUGAGCGGUGUAACUCAACUGGUCAGGCUCUAAGUUUGUUCCCCAAAGGUCACCAGUUCGAGUCCCACAAACCUCAGGGCCACUGGAGGCUUAUAUGGUCGUUAACUUUAAGGUCCGUGGGAUUAGUCGAAGUAUACACAAGUUAGCUCGAACACCCACAUUAAUCUAAAAAAAAAUCUCAUAUUUAAAUAGCUUCCCAAUAAUCACGAGUUUAUAUCUCUCUCAUGAUCACGUUACGUUAUUUUGAGAGCUUAAUUAUCUUCUAAAAAGUACUUUUAUCAAAGUAGAAAACGUACAAUCAACACGUUUUAUUUUCAACAAAAACAGUCAUUGAUUGAUAUUCAAGUACUCGCAAAAUAAAUUAGGUGGUGUGCUGCUUCAAUCAAAAGAUUUGAAUAAUUUUCAUAAUUUUUUAAUAAUUAAUAACGUGUAAGUUUAAGAUUAAAUUCACUAUUGUAUUUUAAUUUUUUUUAUUAUCAUGAAUUAAUUAUUUGAAUUUGAUUAGUUACUAAGUUGUGCAUAAAUAAUGUUUUUAAAAUGCUAAAAUCAUAUUUUGAUUAUUCCAACGAUUUAGAAAGGUUUAUUCACUUUAAUUGAUAUUAAAAUUUAUCUUCAUUUUUUUAUUAUUUUAAAGUAUUAUAAAUUUUAUCAAUUUUAAUUUACAUUGAGAAAAUAUAAUUUGUAAUUAAAACAAGAUUCUAAUAAUAUUUUAUUAAUUAAACAUGAUUUGUUUUUUAUAUAUUUUCAAUACUGAACCCUUAGGCUAUGUUGUAUAACAUCAUAAUUUAAAUAAUCUUUAAAAAUUAAAUAAGUGACAAAUUCAUAUAUAAUUUUUGAUAAUGAAAGAUCAAUAAAGUAAAAAACCAUAAUGAAUCUACAAAGUCAACGAAGAUAAAUUUUUAAAUAAUCAUCUCAAUCUAAAAAUUUAAAUUGUUAGAUGAGGUUUUAAAAUAAAAUUUACAUUAUUUUCGAACAUAUUACCUUAAAUAAAAGUCUUGUGUGUUUGAUACUUUUACAUAUUCAUAUUACUCUGUACUAUUAAUUAAAAAUAUAAAUAAGAUGGUAAUUGAAGACUGCUUCUGCUAAGAUGAAAGGAAAACAUAAAUAACGUGGUAAUUAUAAUUGAAAACAUGAAACAGUAUAUAUAGAAAUCACGUAAUAUCAACGAGGUCUCUAAUUUCCAGGGCCAUAAUUCUUAAGUACCAGUACAUGUUUUUCCUUCAAUAUUUACUAGGAAGAUUUAAAUCAAAAGGAGGAUCAAGGGAAACAAACCAAUGAAAAAAGAAAAAGAAUCAAUAGAUAUGGAAACAUGGCAAAACACAAGAUAUAUAUAUUGACCAUCCGGUACUCAUGUACAGCCACAACUUGAGAUAUUGUAGGCCUGAGAGAAGGUGAUUGAUCGGUGCACAAGAUAUGGUUUUUUUUUUUUCUUUCCUGUUAAGAUAGUUAUAUUUUAAUAUGAUAAUCUCCUUAUCAAAAAUAAUUUUUCUUAAACCUUAAAUAUAUAUUUUUUGAGCUUUAAAAUGAUUAUAUUUUAACUUGAUGAGAUAAUAAUCUCCUUAAUGAAAAGAACUUUUCUCGAACCUUAAAUAGAUUAACGAAUAGAAACACGACUUAGAACAAACAAUAAAGCAGAUUACCAUAAAUAAAGUGCACUCAGAGUUAUAUGUCUUCCAUUUACACAAUUAAUCCCUCUACCUAGACUCUCAUAGACCAUUAGGUUUUCUAGUAACUAUAAUACUGAGGACUCCCUUUUCUUUUCUUUUUUUGUUGAUAAAAGAUAAGAAUUCCUUAUACUUUCCACACUAAUUACCCAUUACAAAUUGUUCUUAUCAAAGAAUCACUAUAAACUUAAAAGUUUAAAGUUUUAAUAAUAAUUUUAUAUUAUUAGAUAAUACAUCUUUUCAAGUGAACAUUUAAUUUAAUUUUGUUUGGUAUUAAAUAUUUUGAUCGAAUUGAUUUUUAAACAAAUAAUUAUAAUAAUGUUAAUGAUUGCAACCAUGGAGUCUGAAGUAAUAAUGCAUCAUUAAAAUUUAUGAUCAAGUCUUUGUUCAUGUUCAGCAUCUUUUGUUUCCAUUAUGUCGAUCUUUUGCUUUCAUGAUGUCGAUCUUUUGCACUGUCGAGAAGAGAAAGAUUAAUAAGGCUAAAGCAUCAGUAUGAAGGCCAAAAGCUGAUAGCAUACCCUCCAUUUCUUGGGUCCAAUGAAGAGAACAGUGAGAACUAAUAACGCAUCUUUAAAAUUUAAGAUCAAGUCUUUGUUCAUGUUCAGCAUCUUUUUUUUUGGAUAAUUCAUGUUCAGCAUCUUUUGUUUCCAUUAUGUCGAUCUUUUGUAUUGUCGAGCAGAGAAAGAUUAAUAAAGCUAAAGCAUCAGUAUGAAGGCCACAAGCUGAUAGCUUACAUUUCUUGGGUCCAAUGAUGUGAACAUUGAGAAGUAAUAAUGCAUCUUUAAAAUUUAAGAUCAAGUCUUUGUUCAUGUAUCGCGUAAAAUUUAAGGUCAAGUUUUAAAAUUUUUAUUGAAAGGGUUUCUUUAGGAAGCUGAAGCUGAGUUUGUGGUUGCAAAUCUUGAAGAACAACCCCCCCCCCCCCCCCCCCAAUAAAUAAGCAAAUGACUUCAUUCCCAAUGCUUAUAAACUUUUAGCUAGUUAUAGUCGUAAAGAUGUUGAUAUAUUAACCAAGUAUUGUGAUAUGACUCAAAUUAAAGGUAUACAAGUUUCUAUAAAAACCAAAAAGGCUCGGAAAACAUAACACACAUCAAGGCUGCAGAGAAAGGCAAGCCUGCAGAAGAACCAACGUCUAUAGAAGACUAGAGAUCAGCCAUUCUGUUUUUAUUCUGUUUUCUCUGUAUAUAUGUAAUUGCAGUUACAAAAUUAGUUAUAACUGUUAAGUUAGUUGAGAAAGUUAGUUAUAAUAUGUGUAUAAAUAUGUAUUCAUGUACUCUGAGAAAGAUAAGAAAAAUAUAUAGAAAAAUGCUGCAUGCAGAUUCUUCAAACGUAUAGUUCCUUCCAAGAAUUCAUUCCCUUCUGUUUUCUAUUUUCUACCUUUUUCACAUUCCUUGCCCAGAUUUCUACAUCAUAGACCAUGGAUGACUUCCUUACAUCUCUAGAGCAAGGGGAUGGGGAUGAUGACGAAGACUCGGUUGAUGUGGACAUCUAUGGUGAUGGGGAAGAAGAUGUUGCAGAUUAUCGUACGUGUGCGGGGUCAUAGUGAAAUGCAUCCAUUACACAUUGCUAUUGUCAAGCAGAGAAAAAUUAAAGUUAGCCUACACCUCUAACAGCUUUAGUUUAGGAUCAUCUUGGUAUGCUUCUUUAUUAUAUGUAUGAAUAACUUAUUAUCCAUUACACAUUACUAUUAUCAAAGAAUUACUAUAAACUUAAAAGUUUAACGUUUUAAUAAUAAUUUUAUAUUAAUUACUAAUACAUCUUUUGAAGUAAACAUUUAAUUUAAUUUUGUUUUAUAUUAAAUUUGAUUGACAUUGACAAAAUUUAUGGUCAAGUCUCCGUGUUCAGAAUCAUUUUUUUGCCUCGUCAAGCAGAGAAAGAUUAAUAAAAGCUAAAGCAUCAGUACGAAGGCCACAAGCUACAUUUCUUGGGUCCAAACGGAAUGUGAACAUUGAGAAGUAAUAAAGGUAAUGCCUUAUUAAAUGAAAGACUUUACAUGGUUUUGUGUCUUUUCUAUGCCCAGCUAGCGGCUCUGCUAAAUGAUUUGAUACGUCAUGAAAUGAAUUGAUUUUGUGACGUUAUCAGAAAAAUAAUAAUGUAUAUGAUUGAACCCAUGGAAUCUUUAAAAUUUAAGGUCAAGUCUUUGUUCAUGUAAUUCAGCAUCUUUUGUUAAUCUUUUGCAUUUAAUAAAGCUAAAGCAUCAGUAUGAAGGCCAAAAGCUGAUAGCUUACCCUCCAUUUCUUGGGUCCAAUCAGAAAGUGAACAUUGAGAAGUAAAAAUGCACUUUAAAAUUUAUGGUCAAGUCUUUGUUCACGUAAUUCAGCUUCUUUUGUUAACAUUAUGUCGAUCUUUUGCAUUGUCAAGCAGAUAAAAAUUAAUAAAGCUAAAGCACCACCACAAGUUGAUAGAUUACUUUGUUUGAUUGGUAAUGUACUUAGGUGUUGUUUAAACUAUAUUUUAUUUUAAACAAAAAUUAAUAUAGCCUUCUGCGCUUGUAAUAGCUCAACCAUUUUGUAUUCAGAAUAUAUUAUUUAUGCUAUUCUCACAUGAAAUGUCUUGGCUGUGAAAUUUUUUAAAAUAGAACAAUAUACAGUUAGAGUAAAAUUGUGUACAUUAUAAUAUUUGAACAGCAUAUUUUCAUGAUUAUUAUACAAUCGUUAAGGAACACGGUUUUUAAGAUGGAAAGGAGAUCAUUUUAUUAAUUAGCAAUGCAAUAAUAGUUUUUUCAACAAUAUAAAAGUUCACAAAUUACAGUAGGUGCCAAAAGAUUAUAAAUCCAAAUUUCUCUGCAAGUUCCUGCUGCUCCUACUGUCCCGUAGUCCUCACUGGAUUGCUUUUGUUGUUUUGCAACUCAAUAAUCAAACAUAUCAUGUUAUGUUAAGAUAGAGGAGAUGAACCAUUUACAUUUACCCAAUUGCUGGUAAAGAGCAUUCUGUCAAGUAAUAAUUUGUGUUCAUGUUAAGCAUCUUUUGUUUCCAUUGUCGCGUAAUAAUAAUAACCACCGUCAGUCCAGGUAAAGAGCAUUCUGUCGAGUAAUAAUUAAAAAUUUACUUGAUUUUCUUUUAAAUUUCAAAAAAUUCAAAAAAAAAUUAAAAAACAUUUAUUUCAAAAAUACAAAAAUAUUUUUUUUCCCGUGCAUAUGGUUAGAUUUUAAAAUUUGCAUGCAUGCUUUUAUACGGAAAAAAAAAUUACAUCUUCAUCGUACUUUAAAAAAUCAUUUAAUGGAUAUCACAACAAGUUUACAAAUAUCCAUUAUGAUUUAACUAAAAUUUCAAAUAAAAACCUUUUUUAUUUUCUUUCAUAUUAGGAUAGAAUAAAAACCUUUUUUAUUUUCUUUCAUAUUAGGAUAGUUAGGCUUUAAAAUGGUUAUGUUUCAACUUGAUGAGAUAAAGAUCUUCUUAAUAAGAAGAACUUUUCUCUAAAUCUUGAAAAGAUUAACGAAUAAAAACACGAUUUAGAACAAAUAACAAAGCAACUUACUAUAAGUAAGGUGAAGUAGGAGAGAUGCAUCUUUCAUUUACACAAUCAAUCCCCUUACCUAGACUCUCAUAGACCAUUAGGUUUUAUAGUAACCAUAAUAUUAGGUUGUGACUAUUUUUUUAUUUUAUUUUAUUGAUAAAAGAUAAAAAUUCCUUGUACUUUCUGCACUAAUUACCCAUUACACAUUGCUAUUUUUAAAGAAUCACUAUAAACUUAAAAGUUUAAAGUUUUAAUAAUAAUUUUAUAUUAUUGGAUAAUGCAUCUUUUCAAGUGAACAUUUAAUUUAAUUUUGUUUUGUAUUAAAUUUUUUUAUUGGAUUGAUUUUUUAACAUUAACAAAAUAAUAAUAAUAAUGUAAAUGAUUGGAACCAUGGAAUCUGAAGUAAUAAUGCAUCUUUAAAAUUUAUGGUCAAGUCUUUGUUCGUGUUCAGCAUCUUUUGUUUCCAAUCUGUCGAUCUUUUGCUUUCAUUAUGUUGAUCUUUUCCAUUGUCGAGCAGAGAAAGAUUAAUAAAGCUAAAGCAUCAGUAUGAAGGCCAAAAGCUGAUAGCUUACCCUCCAUUUCUUGGGUCCAAUCAGAAAGUGAACAUUGAGAAGAAAUAAUGCAAGUCUUUGUCUAUGUUCAGCACAAAAACCAUUAAUUAGCAAUGUAAUAAUAAUUUUAUUUUAAUCAUAUAACAAUACAUUACGGAACAGUUGAUUGAUUUUACUUACAAUAUAACACAACAAAUCAUAGAGUAUAGUGUAGCAACGUGUACUUAGUUAACCACAUAUACAAUCAAGAAUCAUGUUUGGUUAACCAUCUAGGUGGUGGCCCAGUGGUAAGAGCUUGGGAUCAAGAGGUUCGCUCCCUCUGUGGUCUCAGGUUCGAGCCCUGUGGUUGCUCAUUGAUGACCACUGGAGGCUUACAUGGUCGUUAACUUCAGGGCCCGUGGGAUUAGUUGAAGUGCGCGCAAACUGGCCCGGACAUCCACAUUAAACUAAAAAAAAAAAAAGAAUCAUGCUUGGUUAAUUCUGAGGGGUGUAACUCAAUUAGUUAGAUUAUGAGUUUGCUCUCCAAAUAUUAUUAAUUCGAGUGCCACAAAUCUCAAGGCCAUUAAAAAUUUACCUGGUCGUUAAGUACUUUGAAGCUCCAAAAAAAUUAGUCAGGAUGCAUGUAUGUUGGCUCGAACACCCAUGAUUAUAUAUAAAAAAAACAUGUUUGAUCAUUUCUUGAUAGAUCACAUACAAUAAAGAAUCAUGUUAUAUCUAGAAAUUAAUUUCACAUCAAUUUUACGUUUCCUUUAAUUUGAAUAGACUAACAUUUUAUCUUAUAAAAAGUACUUUUAUCAAAGUAGCAAACGUACAAUCAACAAGUUUUAUUUUCAACAAUAUAAAAGUUCACAAAUUACAGUAGGGGCCACAAGAUUAUAAUCAUACGGUUUUUAUUUCAGAAAUUAUGAAUCCAAAUUUCUUUGUAAGUUCCUGCUACUCCUACUGUCCCAUAGUCCUCACUGGAUUGUUUUAUUGUUUUGCAACUUAAUAAUCAAACAUACCAUGUUAAGAUAGAGGAGAUGUACUGAUGCGAACCCUAGUGAAAUUUAAUGGAAUUCACGAUCCUAAGAUCAAUCUAAUCAAAGUUUAUUGAGAUUUGAAUGAGCUUAUCACAAUGUAAGACACAAUGGAAGACUUGCUCCAAGGCAACAAGACUAUAAACCAACUCGAUCACAACGCCUACACCUAGAGACAAGCAAAGAAAGUAUAAAUUCACAACGAAGAAUGGUCAAUUUUUUGAAGAGUUGAAAGUUCAAUCAAGAACCAAGAUUGAGCAACCAAAAGUCGGCUAUGAUGCUGAAAAUAUCAUAAAAAGUCUGUCCUAAAAUUAUUUCUAAAGAGUAUUUAAACUCCAAGCCAAAACCCUAGUUUUUCUAAUGAGUCUCACAUAAGCUCAAUUUAAAUAAUAAUCAACCCAAGCUAAAACUAGCCCAAACUAAUUAAAAUUAAAAAAAUAAACAAGUCUAAGACCCAAAUAAAAUGUCUUCUCUCAAAAUAAAUAAAGUUUGAUAGUCUAACUAAUUAAAUAAGACAAGUUCGUUGUUUCCGCAUUCUGUCUAGCAGCAGCAAAAGCUCAACUUAAAACGGAUGGUUCUCUCUCGUUUUAAUGAAUUAGAAAGAGUUUCAUAUACCGUUGGAAAGGUAUGGAAGUCUAGUUUCCAGCUCAACUAGAACCACAUCACAAUUUGAUCUGUAGCUCUAGUUAUGACCAAAAGAGUAACGAAAUGUGAAACUGUCCGAAUCUAGUCUUCUUCUCCCAAUCCUUGUGUAAUGCUCUUGGUUCCACUACGAAGCCCUUUUUGAACAUGAAUCAGAUUAAUCAAGGCUUGCUCUUUUUUAUUAAAAAUCCUCUUAAGUUCAUUGAAAGCUUCUUUGAACUUCUUAGCCCUAAGCCUAGUAAUUGGACCAACUGGAACCUCCAAUGGAUCGUUUGAUGGUUGGAUCGCAUCAUGGACCAUUUACAUUACCCAAUUGCUGGCUCUAUUUCAUAUAUUGGAAUCUACAGCAGUCUAUCAACAUGCACAAGGAAAACAUAACACACAUCAAGGCUGCAGAGAAAGGCAAGCCUGCAGAAGAACCGUCUAUAGAAGACUAGAGAUCAGCCAUUCUGUUUUUAUUCUGUUUUCUCUGUAUAUAUGUAAUUGCAGUUACAAAAUUAGUUAUAACUGUUAAGUUAGUUGAGAAAGUUAGUUAUAAUAUGUGUAUAAAUAUGUAUUCAUGUACUCUGAGAAAGAUAAGAAAAAUAUAUAGAAAAAUGCUGCAUGCAGAUUCUUCAAACGUAUAGAAUUCUUCUUCUUCCUUCCAAGAAUUCAUUCCCUUCUGUUUUCUAUUUUCUACCUUUUUCACAUUCCUUGCCCAGAUUUCUACAUGGUAUCAGAGCGAAAUUGCUGAAAAAUCAAUUUUUUUUCUUCAUCAUCAACAGAAAAAUUCAAAGAUUCUUGAGGUCUAAAACCUUUCUUCCAUCAUCUUCUUGUUUCUUUCAAAAACCUCAAAAUGACUGAUCAUCUUGAAGAAAAUGCUUCUACGGCACAUAAUGCUUCAUUCAAUACCACUACUCUGAAUCUUUCUGACGAUUCUUCCAGCUGCUACUACCUGCACCCUUCUGAUAACCCUGGUGCACUUCUUGUUUCUGAAAUUUUUACUGGUGAAAAUUAUAUUGCAUGGAGUAGAUCCAUGACAAUUGCCUUAACAGUAAAGAACAAGAUUGCCUUCAUUGAUGGUUCUUUGGUUCAACCAAUCACCACCAAUCAAUCUCUUCGUGUGGCAUGGCUAAGAUCAAAUAAUCUGGUUUUGUCAUGGCUGAUGAAUUCCAUUGCUAAAGAUAUUCGCAGCAGUGUUCUUUAUUUCACAACAGCCUUCGACAUUUGGGAAGAAUUACGAGUUAGAUACCUGAGAAGUGAUGGACCAAGAGUCUUCAGUUUGGAGAAAUCUUUAAGUUCCAUUUCUCAGAACUCAAAAUCUGUCACAGAAUAUUUCAGUGAAUUCAAAGCUCUAUGGGAUGAAUACAUCAGUUAUCGUCCAAUCCCAAACUGCAAAUGUGGAAAUCUUGAUUCAUGCUCAUGCAACAUUCUAAAGCACCUAACAGAUCGACAACAAUCAGAUUAUGUUAUGAAAUUUCUGGUAGGACUCCAUGAUUCUUACUCAGCAGUAAGAAGCCAGUUAUUACUCCAAACUCCUUUGCCAUCUAUGGGCAGAGUUUUUUCUUUACUUCUGCAAGAAGAGAGUCAGAGGUCCCUGACAAAUGCGGUAGGAAUUCCCAUUGACUCAUAAGCAAUGGUUGCUGAACAAUACCAUAAUCCAAACUCCAGAUCAGGUUCAACAUAUGCUACACGUUUUGCUAAACAAAAAGGCAAAACUGAGGCAACCUGCUCCCACUAUGGAUAUCCAGGACAUCUUGUUGAUAAAUGUUUCCAGAUUAUUGGAUAUCCUCCUGGAUGGAAGGGGCCAAGAGGGAAAAGAUUUGCUACCAUGCCGCAUGCCAACAGAAAUCUUCAAAAGCUACCCACUGCAUAUAAUACUGCUGUCUUGGAGCAACAUCUUGACACUCCCAACAUUGUUUUCUCUCAAGAGCAAAUACAGAAUCUACUCACUCAUGCAAAUAGCAUUUCUAACUCAAAGCUAAACAACAUUACUCAGGAAGUAUCUACAUCAGGUAUAUCUUUUUCAUGUCAUACCAUUUCUUCACCGCAGAACAAAUUUACUUGGAUCCUUGAUACAGGAGCAACAGACCACAUGAUCUGUAGCCCCCUUCUUUUUGAAUCCAUUAUUCUGCCUAAAACUCAGUCCAAAGUUCAUCUGCCAAAUGGUGAAACUGUACCUAUUGUUUUCACUGGGACGGUUAAAUUCUCUCCUGACAUCAUUUUACACAAAGCCCUUUAUGUUCCAUCUUUUAAUAUCAAUCUUAUUUCUGUUUCAAGAUUAACUGCUGAUAACACUGUUGGCUUGUUUUUUCUUCACACGAAAUGUAUCUUGCAGGAUUUAAGCACAUGGAGGAUGAUUGGGCUUGCUGAAGCUGAAUCUGGCCUAUACCAUCUUCACAAACCUCCUAAUCAAUCUACCAAAUGCUUACCUCCUAGAUCAUUGAUCAAGUCAUGUACUGUUACCACUAAUCUUUGGCAUUUACGUUUAGGCCACAUUCCUACUUCCAAAACCAUUCUUCUGAGCAAAAUCGAUCCUUCAAUAACCAUUACCAGCAAUUCUGUUUGUGAAAUUUGCCCCUUAGCUAAACAAAAACGGCUGCCCUUUUCCUUGUCUAUGAAUAAAUCCAUGCAGGCUUUUCACUUAAUUCAUAUUGACAUUUGGGGACCCUUCUCUGUUACUUCACAUUCUGGUUAUCAGUAUUUCCUUACCAUUGUAGACGAUUACAGUAGAUUCACUUGGUUAUUUUUAAUGAAAUCAAAAUCUGAAACUAGAAGUCUUCUUAGCAACUUCCUAGCCUAUGUCCAUACUCAAUUCCACACCAAGAUUAAGACUCUCAGAUCAGACAAUGGACAAGAUUUUAAUAUGCCUACCUUUUAUCAAGAACAUGGCAUCAUUCAUCAAUUAACUUGCAUUGAAACACCUGAACAGAAUGGAAGGGUUGAAAGGAAACAUCAACACCUACUAAAUGUAGCUAGAUCUCUGAUGUUUCAAUCCAAACUACCAUUGACUUACUGGACGGAUUGCAUUCUCACAGCCACUCACCUAAUCAAUCGCACUCCUUCAGUCACUCUCCAGAAUCAAACACCAUAUCAGGUUCUUUUUAACAAACCACCGACUUACAAUCACCUCAGGGUGUUCGGUUGUUUAUGUUUUGCUAGCACACUCACACACAACAGAGGCAAAUUUCAACCACGAGCAAAGAAAUGCAUAUUUCUUGGGUAUCCUCCCCACACUAAAGGUUACAAAGUGCUAGACUUGUCAACAUGCAAAACCUUUGUGUCUCGCAAUGUUGUUUUUUAUGAAUCCACAUUCCCAUCCAUUCCAAACACAGUCCAUACACCCCUUGUGUUCCCUGAUUAUCCUCAAAAUUUUGAUUCUUUAGCUUGUAUACCACCCCAGUCCACUACUAACAAUUCUGUUACUCCUGCAACCUUGCCUUUACAAACUUCUGUUCCUCCCUUAACUCACAACAAUGUUUCACAACCCAGAAGGUCUGAAAGGACUAAACAUCCACCCAAUUACUUAAAGCAAUAUUACUGUGGAAAUAUGGCUCAGAUUCCUUCAGCAGCUCCAAGCUCUUCUGAUUGCUCCCUUUCUGGUAAGCCAUACUCGAUCUUCUCUUUCUUAUCUCAUUCCAAAUUAUCUUUACAACAAUGUGCUUUCACUUCUUUUGUUUCCUCUGUUUUUGAACCAAAAACUUACAAACAAGCUAGCUCUAUUCCUCAUUGGCAACAUGCUAUGACUAAUGAAAUUAUCGCUCUUGAGCAAAACCAAACUUGGGAUUUAGUCCUUCUGCCUCAGAAUAAAUCUGCCAUUGGAUGUAAGUGGGUAUACAAAGUGAAGUUCCAAGCUGAUGGACAGGUUGAACGUUACAAGGCCAGAUUGGUAGCUAAGGGAUACACACAACAAGAGGGAAUCGAUUUCUUUGACACUUAUUCUCCUGUUGCUAAAAUAACAACAAUCAGAGUUCUUCUCACUAUAGCUGCUGUCAACAAUUGGCAUUUACAUCAACUUGAUGUGGACAAUGCUUUCUUGCAUGGCGACUUACAUGAGGAAGUAUAUAUGCAAUUGCCACCUGGUUACUCCAAUCCUAAUGAUCCUCGAGUCUGCAAGCUCAAAAAGAGCAUCUAUGGCUUGAAACAAGCUUCCAGACAAUGGUUCUCCAAGCUAUCUACCUCUCUAUUACAGUUUGGAUUUUUACAAGCAAAAUCAGAUUCCAGCCUCUUCAUCAGAAAAACCCCCAACGACUUCAUCGCAGUGUUAAUCUAUGUUGAUGAUGUAAUCAUUGCUUCCAACACUCUUACAGCAAUCAACAAAGUUAAACAGUACCUUCGCACGACCUUUCCUAUCAAAGAUUUGGGAAAGCUGAAGUAUUUUCUAGGCAUUGAGGUUGCUAGAUCUUCCAAAGGCAUUGUUCUUUGUCAGAGAAAGUAUGCCUUAGAUAUACUAGCAGACAGUGGAUUUUCUGGAGCUAAACCUGUCAGUUUUCCUAUGGAAUCCACACUGAAACUUAGUGCCCAUGAUACUAGCCCUCCCUUGUCCGAUCCUGCAUCUUAUCGUAGAUUAAUUGGCAGACUCCUCUAUCUCACACUCACACGCCCAGACUUAUCCUAUGCCAUCCAAACACUUAGCCAGUUCAUGUCCAAUCCUCACACAAUGCAUCUGCAAGCUGCAGAGAGAGUCCUUCGGUAUCUUAAAGCAACACCAGGUCAAGGAUUACUUCUCAAAGUUGAUUCUACCUUCCAUUUAAAAGCUUAUUCUGACAGUGAUUGGGGAGGUUGCAUUGAUACUAGAAGAAGUGUCACUGGAUAUUUAGUUUUUCUUGGCGAUUCACUCAUUUCCUGGAAGUCCAAGAAACAACCUACUGUCAGUAGGUCCUCAGCAGAAGCUGAAUAUCGAGCUUUGGCAACUACAUCGUGUGAACUUCAAUGGCUGAUUUAUUUGUUGGCCGAUUUCCACAUACCACACUCUCAGCCUGCCUUACUAUACACUGACAGCAAACCUGCUUCAGAAAUUGCCUCAAAUCCGAUCCAUCAUGAACGCACUAAACAUAUACAACUUGACUGUCAUCUUGUCCGCAAAAAAUUGUAGGAGGGAUUGCUUAACAUCAUUCACAUCCCUUCCAGAUUUCAAUUAAAUGACGCCCUCACCAAACCACUUGGUUAUCUCACGCUUCACCCUAUCCUUAGCAAGAUGGGAAUGGUAAAUAUUCAUUCUCAUCUUGAGGGGGGAUAUUGGAAUCUACAGCAGUCUAUCAACAUGCACAAGGAAAACAUAACACACAUCAAGGCUGCAGAGAAAGGCAAGCCUGCAGAAGAACCAACGUCUAUAGAAGACUAGAGAUCAGUCAUUCUGUUUUUAUUCUGUUUUCUCUGUAUAUAUGUAAUUGCAGUUACAAAAUUAGUUAUAACUGUUAAGUUAGUUGAGAAAGUUAGUUAUAAUAUGUGUAUAAAUAUGUAUUCAUGUACUCUGAGAAAGAUAAGAAAAAUAUAUAGAAAAAUGCUGCAUGCAGAUUCUUCAAACGUAUAGUUCCUUCCAAGAAUUCAUUCCCUUCUGUUUUCUAUUUUCUACCUUUUUCACAUUCCUUGCCCAGAUUUCUACAUCAUAGACCAUGGAUGACUUCCUUACAUCUCUAGAGCAAGGGGAUGGGGAUGAUGACGAAGACUCGGUUGAUGUGGACAUCUAUGGUGAUGGGGAAGAAGAUGUUGCAGAUUAUCGUACGUGUGCGGGGUCAUAGUGAAAUGCAUCCAUUACACAUUGCUAUUGUCAAGCAGAGAAAAAUUAAAGUUAGCCUACACCUCUAACAGCUUUAGUUUAGGAUCAUCUUGGUAUGCUUCUUUAUUAUAUGUAUGAAUAACUUAUUAUCCAUUACACAUUACUAUUAUCAAAGAAUUACUAUAAACUUAAAAGUUUAACGUUUUAAUAAUAAUUUUAUAUUAAUUACUAAUACAUCUUUUGAAGUAAACAUUUAAUUUAAUUUUGUUUUAUAUUAAAUUUGAUUGACAUUGACAAAAUUUAUGGUCAAGUCUCCGUGUUCAGAAUCAUUUUUUUGCCUCGUCAAGCAGAGAAAGAUUAAUAAAAGCUAAAGCAUCAGUACGAAGGCCACAAGCUACAUUUCUUGGGUCCAAACGGAAUGUGAACAUUGAGAAGUAAUAAAGGUAAUGCCUUAUUAAAUGAAAGACUUUACAUGGUUUUGUGUCUUUUCUAUGCCCAGCUAGCGGCUCUGCUAAAUGAUUUGAUACGUCAUGAAAUGAAUUGAUUUUGUGACGUUAUCAGAAAAAUAAUAAUGUAUAUGAUUGAACCCAUGGAAUCUUUAAAAUUUAAGGUCAAGUCUUUGUUCAUGUAAUUCAGCAUCUUUUGUUAAUCUUUUGCAUUUAAUAAAGCUAAAGCAUCAGUAUGAAGGCCAAAAGCUGAUAGCUUACCCUCCAUUUCUUGGGUCCAAUCAGAAAGUGAACAUUGAGAAGUAAAAAUGCACUUUAAAAUUUAUGGUCAAGUCUUUGUUCACGUAAUUCAGCUUCUUUUGUUAACAUUAUGUCGAUCUUUUGCAUUGUCAAGCAGAUAAAAAUUAAUAAAGCUAAAGCACCACCACAAGUUGAUAGAUUACUUUGUUUGAUUGGUAAUGUACUUAGGUGUUGUUUAAACUAUAUUUUAUUUUAAACAAAAAUUAAUAUAGCCUUCUGCGCUUGUAAUAGCUCAACCAUUUUGUAUUCAGAAUAUAUUAUUUAUGCUAUUCUCACAUGAAAUGUCUUGGCUGUGAAAUUUUUUAAAAUAGAACAAUAUACAGUUAGAGUAAAAUUGUGUACAUUAUAAUAUUUGAACAGCAUAUUUUCAUGAUUAUUAUACAAUCGUUAAGGAACACGGUUUUUAAGAUGGAAAGGAGAUCAUUUUAUUAAUUAGCAAUGCAAUAAUAGUUUUUUCAACAAUAUAAAAGUUCACAAAUUACAGUAGGUGCCAAAAGAUUAUAAAUCCAAAUUUCUCUGCAAGUUCCUGCUGCUCCUACUGUCCCGUAGUCCUCACUGGAUUGCUUUUGUUGUUUUGCAACUCAAUAAUCAAACAUAUCAUGUUAUGUUAAGAUAGAGGAGAUGAACCAUUUACAUUUACCCAAUUGCUGGUAAAGAGCAUUCUGUCAAGUAAUAAUUUGUGUUCAUGUUAAGCAUCUUUUGUUUCCAUUGUCGCGUAAUAAUAAUAACCACCGUCAGUCCAGGUAAAGAGCAUUCUGUCGAGUAAUAAUUAAAAAUUUACUUGAUUUUCUUUUAAAUUUCAAAAAAUUCAAAAAAAAAUUAAAAAACAUUUAUUUCAAAAAUACAAAAAUAUUUUUUUUCCCGUGCAUAUGGUUAGAUUUUAAAAUUUGUGUCGCACGUCAAAAAAAAUCAGCGCGGCGUCGGCUGGCAAUUUUUCAUUUGUUGUUUUGCUUUGAUUGGUUCGUUGGAGUCGCCACCUAGUAUUUAAUUGAAGGCUACUAGAAAACCCGGAUACUGGUCUUAUCAGAGAUUCACAGGUAAGGGACUGGUUGUGGUUAGGGAAGGUGUUAGCACCCCUAACGCACCCUACCUGAGGUAAGCUGCUUCGUGGACUUGAUGUGAUUUAAAAAAUAAAAUUUUAGCCCAAUUCUAAGGCUUUGAUAAAUCAGUUAUUAGUUCCCAAAAUAUAUGUAGAUACAUGUUCUACAUUUUUAUGGAAAAUACAACAUGAUUUUUAUCUGUCCUUUAGAUAUUUGAGCAUAUAAAUUAAAAUAUUAAAUUCAUUUUUUAUCUCAAUAACAUACAUAAAAAAAAACACAUAUACACCUUCACUAUAUUUUUUCUUUUCUUUUCUUUUUCUUUCUUUUUUUGUUACAUCAACAUUACAAAUUAUAAAAAUUCAAUACUAAAAAUUAAAAUUACAUCAAACAAUUUAAAAUUACAAAACAACCCCUAAAACAGAAUCAGGAACAGUGUAGCCACGGGUGAACAGUGUCGGAGGCUUCUGGGCGCCGGAAUAGUGGCGGCGCGUGGGCCUCACGCGCCACCGCCGGUGAAGACCAGCAAGCUGGUAGAUCUGGAUCGUCUCCUUCUUCUCUUCCUGUUCGUACCGGCGGUGCAUCUCCCAGUCACCUGCAAAGCAUCCCAACAACACAAGCAGUAUUUCACUUUCGUUUUCCUUUUUCUUUUAGAUCUGCCAUCAUCUCCCUUCGUUAAUGCUUUCUUAUUCUGGGUUCAACGUCGCCAUUGCUUGUUGCCGUUUGGAUGGUUGCAGAUCGGAGAAGUUGUCGUGGCUGGUGGCGCGUCGGCGCACGCGAUGAGGAGACUCGGGGAGAUCAACUCAAGGGACUGACCGCUGCUACUGGCUGAGGGAGCGGUUCAGUGGUUCAUCUGCAGGCCGUCCCUGGCCACUGCCGUGCGUGGGGGAGGAGCUGCUACGGGGCCGGGAGAAGACUAGGAAGAAGACAGCGGGAGCUGACGCCGUGUUCGGUCUGAGGAAGAAAGGAACGGCGGCCGGUCUCUGUUGGGUGGAGCUGGAGACCGUGAGAAGGAAAUGGAAGGCUUCUGUGCAGAGGGCAGGUCUUGGCUGCCGCUGUUGGAGGUUGAUGUGGGUGUGGCCUUGGCUGGUUUUUUUUGAGAGGGAGCUGCUGCGGGGCUGCCUUGGGUGAGGUAGAUGAGAGUUUGGUGCUGAGUGCAGCCGAGAAAGGGAAGUGGAUGGCUGCUUCAACAGGGAACAAGGGACCCCUGUGUGGCUUCCGGUUUUGGGAGCCAAAAAUCCCAAUGACAGGGUGGCGGCCAGAAAUGAAGAGAUGCCAUGUGCGGGGUCUGCUGGCCGGGGCUGAGAGGGAUUCUGGUGAGGGGAUGUGGAUGUGGGUGCUGUCAGCUGAAAAUGAUAGGAAAUCGGGGAAGAUCGGCGUUGUGGGUGCAGGGGAGAAGGAAGAGGGACUGGGGAGCCGUGGGCCCCUGCCCACGGCUGUGUGGAAGAAGAAAAAAUGGAAAAAUCCCCCUCUCCCCUUUGUAGCUGGGGAUGAGCAGAAAUAGGGGUUCUCCUCGUGAGGAGGGGCCUUCAUUGUCGGCUGGAAACAAGGAAAAGAAGACCCUGGGUGGGGGCUGAGUCCCUGAUUUUCAGCCGAAAGAGAGGGAUCAAAUGGUCUUGGGCCAGGGGGAGUGGCUAGUUUCGGGUGAAGAAAAAAGUUUUUUUUAGGUUUUCUUUUUUUUGUGUUGCCUCCCCCUCCAAUAUUCAAAAUUCCCUAUGCAUAGGCAAAAUAUUGUUUGAGCCUCAAAAUUGAUUUCUCACUUUUCUUUUCUUUUUAAAUUUGAUUUUCUUUAAUUUUUUUGUAUUUUUGAAAAUAAGCAAUAUCAACGUCGACUCAAUGAGGAAAAUCAAUGAUUUUAAAAUUAACGCGUUCAAAGUUGAACGCGUUCGAAAGACCUUUGAAAAUUUAAAUUCUUUUUAGACGACGCUGCAAAUGCUAAAAACGAUGCAAAUGUAUUUUUUGGGUUUUCAAUGCUUUUCACUAUUUUUGGAUUUUUUCUGAAAAUUUAUUAAAACAUGGGUCAAAAUUGGGUAGCAACAAUUUGCAUGCAUGCUUUUAUACGAAAAAAAAAAAUUACAUCUUCAUCGUACUUUAAAAAAUCAUUUAAUGGAUAUCACAACAAGUUUACGAAUAUCCAUUAUGAUUUAACUAAAAUUUCAAAUAAAAACCUUUUUUAUUUUCUUUCAUAUUAGGAUAGUUAGGCUUUAAAAUGGUUAUGUUUCAACUUGAUGAGAUAAGAAUCUUUUUAAUGAGAAAAACGUUUCUCUAAACUUUGGAAAGAUUAACGAAUAAAAACACGACUUAAAACAAAUAACAAAGCAGCUUACUAUAAGUAAGGUGAAUUAGGAGAGAUGCAUCUUUCAUUUACACAAUCAAUCCCCUUACCCAGACUCUCAUUGACUAUUAGGUUUUCUAGUGACCAUAAUAUUAGGUUAUGACUCCUUUUUCUUUUCUUUUUUAUUGAUAAAAGAUAAGAAUUUCUUGUAUUUUCCGCACUAAUUACCCAUUACACAUUGCUAUUUUCAAAGAAUCACUAUAAACUUAAAAGUUUAAAGUUUUAAUAAUAAUUUUAUAUUAUUGGAUAAUGCAUCUUUUCAAGUGAACAUUUAAUUUAAUUUUGUUUUGUAUUAAAUUUUUUUAUUGAAUUGAUUUUUUAAUAUUAACAAAAUAAUAAUAAUAAUAAUAAUGUAAAUGAUUGGAACCAUGGAAUCUGAAGUAAUAAUGCAUCUUUAAAAUUUAUGGUCAUGUCUUUGUUCGUGUUCAGCAUCUUUUGCUUCCAUUCUGUCGAUCUUUUGUUUCCAUUAUGUCGAUCUUUUCCAUUGUCGAGCAGAGAAAGAUUAAUAAAGCUAAAGCACCAGUAUGAAGGCCAAAAGCUGAUAGCUUACCCUCCAUUUCUUGGGUCCAAUCAGAAAGUGAACAUUGAGAAGAAAUAAUGCAUCUUUAAAAUUUAUGGUCAAGUCUUUGUCCAUGUUCAGCACAAAAACCAUUAAUUAGCAAUGUAACAAUAAUUUUAUUUUAAUCAUAUAACAAUACAUUACGGAACAGUUGAUUGAUUGUACUUACAAUAUAACACAACAAAUCAUAGAGUACAACAAAUCAUAGAGUAUGGUGUAGCAACGUGUACUUACUUAACCACGUAUACAAUCACGAAUCAUGUUUGAUCAAUUCUAGAAAGUGUAACUCAGCUGGUUAGAUUAUAAGUUUGUUUUUUAAAUAUCAUUAGUUCGAGUGCCAUAAACCUCAGAGCCAUUAGAAACUUAUCUAAUUAUUAAGUAUUUUAAAGCUCUAAAAAAUUAGUCAGGAUGCGUGUAUAUUGGCUCGAACACCCAUAGUUAUAUAAAAAAAAAACAUGUUUGGUCAUUUCUUGAUAGAUCACAUGCAAUAAAGAAUCAUGUUAUAUCUAGAAAUUAAUUUCACAUCAAUUUUACUUUUCCUUUAAUUUGAAUAGACUAACAUUUUAUCUUCUAAAAAGUACUUUAUCAAAGUAGCAAACGUACAAUCAACAAGUUUUAUUUUCAACAAUAUAGAAGUUCACAAAUUACAGUAGGGGCCACAAGAUUAUAAUCAUACGGUUUUUAUUUCAGAAAUUAUGAAUCCAAAUUUCUUUGUAAGUUCCUGCUACUCCUACUGUCCCAUAGUCCUCACUUACUCCUACUGUCCCAUAGUCCUCACUGGAUUGUUUUAUUGCUUUGCAACUUAAUAAUCAAACAUACCAUGUUAAGAUAGAGGAGAUGGACUGAUGCGAACCCUAGUGAAAUUUAGUAGAAUUCACGACUCCAAGAUUAAUCUAAUCCAAAUUUGUUGAGAUUUGAAUGAGCUUAUCAUAAUGGAAGACACAAUGGAAGACUUGCUCCAAGGCAACAAGACUAUAAACCAACUCGAUCACAACGCCUACAUCUAGAGACGAGAAAAGAAAGUAUAAAUUCACAACGAAUAAUGGUCAAUUCUUUGAAGAGUUGAAAGUUCAAUCAAGAACCAAGAUUGAGCAACCAAAAGUCGGCUAUGAUGCUGAAAAUAUCAUAAAAAGUCUGUCCUAAAAUUAUUCAUAAAGAGUAUUUAAACUCCAAACCAAAAUCCUAGUGUCUCACAUAAGCUCAAUUUAAAUAAUAAUCAACCCAAACUAAAACUAGCUCAAACUAAUUAAAAAAUAAAAAAUAAACAAGUCUAAUACCCAAAUAAAAUGUCUUCUCUCAAAAUAAAUAAAGUUUGAUAGCCCAACUAAUUAAAUAAGACAAGUUCGUUGUUUCCGCAUUUUGUCUAGCAGCAGCAAAAGCUCAACUUAAAACGGAUGGUUCUCUCUCGUUUUAAUGAAUUAGAAGGAGUUUCAUAUACCGUUGGAAAGGUAUGGAAGUCUAGCUUCCAGCUCAACUAGAAUCACAUCAAAAUUCGAUUUGUAGCUCCAGUUAUGACUAAAAGAGUAACGAAAGGUGAAACUGUCCCAAUCUAGUCUUCUUCUCCUAAUCCUUGUGUAAUGCUCUUGGUUCCAUCAACAAGCCCCUCUUGAACAUGAAUCAAAUUAAUUAAGGCUUGCUCUUUAUUAUUAAAAAUCAUCUUGAAGUCCAUUGAAAGCUUCUUUGAACUUCUUAGCCCUAAACCUAGUAACUGGACCAACUGGAACCUCCAAUGGAUCGUUAGAUGGUUGGAUCGCAUCAUGGACCAUUUACAUUAUCCAAUUGCUGGCUCUAUUUCAUAGACCAUGGAUGAUUUCCUUACAUCUCUAGAGCGAGGGGAUGGGGAUGAUGAGGAAGACUCGGUUGAUAUGGCCGAUGAUGUGGACAUCUAUGGUGAUGGGGAAGAAGACGUUGCAGAUUAUUGUACGUGUGCGGUGUGGUGUCAUAGUGAAAUGCAUCCAUUACACAUUGCUAUUGUCAAGCAGAGAAAAAUUAAAGUUAACCUACACCUCUAACAGCUUUAGUUUAGGAUCAUCUUGGUAUGCUUCUUUAUUAUAUGUAUGAAUAACUUAUUAUCCAUUACACAUUACUAUUAUCAAAGAAUUACUAUAUAUAAACUUAAAAGUUUAACGUUUUAAUAAUAAUUUUAUAUUAUUUACUAAUACAUCUUUUGAAGUAAACAUUUAAUUUAAUUUUGUUUUAUAUUAAAUUUGAUUGACAUUGACAAAAUUUAUGGUCAAGUCUCCGUGUUCAGAAUCAUUUUUUUGCCUCGUCAAGCAGAGAAAGAUUAAUAAAAGCUAAAGCAUCAGUACGAAGGCCACAAGCUACAUUUCUUGGGUCCAAACGGAAUGUGAACAUUGAGAAGUAAUAAAGGUAAUGCCUUAUUAAAUGAAAGACUUUACAUGGUUUUCUGUCUUUUCUAUGCCCAGCAAGCGGCUCUGCUAAAUGAUUUGAUACGUCAUGAAAUGAAUUGAUUUUGUGACGUUAUAAGAAAAAUAAUAAUGUAUAUGAUUGAACCCAUGGAAUCUUUAAAAUUUAUGGUCAAGUCUUUGUUCAUGCAAUUCAGCAUCUUUUAUUAAUCUUUUGCAUUUAAUAAAGUUAAAGCAUCAGUAUGAAGGCCAAACGCUGAUAGCUUACCCUCCAUUUCUUGGGUCCAAUCACAAAGCUAUUAAACUUGAUGUGCAUCACAUUUUAUGUGAGAUAUUGAAAAGAAAUAAGAGAAAGUUCACCUACUAAACUUGAUGUGCAUCAUACACACACACACACUUUAUAAUCUUAAAAUCUUCAAAUUUAACUAAUUUUUUUUUUAUGAAAAUGUUGUUAUAUAAAAGAAUAUAGUUAAUUUUAUGGUUUGUAUAGAAUAAUAGUUGUUGUAAGAAUAUGUUUUUAAUGUAAUUUCAAGCUAUGUUUUUAAUGAAAAACAAAGAUUAGUAAAAUUUAAAAUUAAUAAAAUACAAAUAGUUUAAAAUAUAGAAAUAACUUAUUUUGGAUUCUCUCUAUAUUAUUCCUUGACAUGAUUUUUAAGAGGUGAGAAUUACAGAAAGAAAAUAAUUAUUGUACUAAAAGUUUCUCAAUAUUGUUAGAACCUUAAAGAACCCAUACGUAUUAUAUUAGGAUAAGUGAAAUAUCAAAAUCUUUAUUUUAUUUUCCAUGCCCUUGCACAUGAUUACAAUUAUUUUCUUUUUAAAAAGUGAUUUUUGUUUUGAAUUCUAAUAAAUAAUUUUUUGAUACGUUCUCAUAUAUAAUUAAGUACAAGCUAUGGUUACAGAAUGUUUUGUCACGAAGAUAUGUUCUUUUUAAUACUAUGAAUAUUAAAUUGUUAAGAUUUGAGUAUAUUAAAGAAUUAUAUCCCAAUAAUAAUGAUUUUGGUACCAUAUAUGUUGAGUAUAGAGUUUCGGCCAAGGAUAAUAUUUUUAGGCAUGAUGGAUUUUUUGUUUAAGGAGAAUAGAUUAUGUGUGCCGAAUUGUUCUAUGCAUGAAUUACUUAUAAGGGGAGCUCAUGAAGGAGGUUUAAUGGGGCAUUUUGAAAUUGUUAAGACUUUAGAAGUUUUACAUGAAUAUUUUUAUUAGCCUAACAUGAAAAGAGAUGUGCAAAAAAUUUGUGAUAGAUUCAUAACUUGUAGACAAGCUAAGUAUAUAGUAAAGCCUUAUAUGUUAUAUACACCUUUACUUGUUCAUAAGAAACCUUGGGUUGAUAUUUAUAUGGAUUUUAUUUUGGGUUUACCUAGGUCUAGAAAAAAAAAGAGACUCCAUAUUUGUUACUAUAUAGAUAUAUUUUCUAAGAUGAUACAUUUCAUUGUUUGCUAUAAAACUAAUGAUGCAAUAAAUAUCAAGACCUUUUCUUUUGAGACGUCAUUCGGCUACAUGGUGUUUCUAGGAGCAUUGUGUUUGAUUGAGAUGUUAAGUUUUUUAGUUACUUUUGGAAGGUUUUGUCGGGUAAGUUAGGGACUAAACUUUUAUUUUCUACUACUUGUCACCCAUAAAUAGAUGGUCAAACUGAAGUUGUGAACAAGACUUUAACUCAAUUAUUAAGAGCUAUCAUUCAAAAGAAUCUUAAAAUUUAAGAGGAUUGUUUGCCUUUUAUUGAAUUUGCAUUUAAUCAUAGUGUGGAUUCUACAACUGAUUAUUCACCAUUUGAGAUUAUUUAUCAUUUUAAUCCUAUAACACAAUUGAAUUUGAUUCCUUUACCUAUUGAUGAAAGGGUUAGUCUUAAUGGUAAUAAAAAAGCAUAGGUAGUGAAGGACUUACAUGCAAAAAUUCAACAAUAGAUAGAGAAAAAAGAAUGAACAAUAUGCAUUCAAGGCUAAUAGAAGAUGAAAAUUAGUGAGGUUUGAACUAGGUGAUUAGGUUUGGGUGCAUAUGAGGAAGGGAAGGUUUCUCGAAUAAAGGACAUCUAAAUUAAUACCUCGAGGAGAUAGUCCUUUUCAGAUUAUAAAAUCGAUCUACCAAGUAGGUAUGGUGUUAAUGUUACAAUCAAUAUUGUUGAUCUCUCUUUCUUUGAUGUAGGUAAUGAUUCAAGAUCAAAUCCUUUUGAAGAGAGAGGAAAUGAUGUGAUCCAUGAACCACCAAAUGAUCCAUUGGAGGUUCCAAUUGAUCUAGUGACAAGGCUUAGGGUUAAAAGAUUCAAAGAGGCUUUCAAUUGACUUCUUUGAGAUACAUGAGUUAAGGUGGACUUCAAGAAGGUAAUAAAUAAUGAAGAGCAAGCCUUGAUUAAUCUGAUUCAUGUUCAAGAAGGACUUGUUUGUGGAACCAAGGCCAUAACUCAAGGAUUGGGAUACAAAGAAUCAAAUCAGACAAUUUGACAUUUCUUUACUAUUUUGAUCAUAACUGGAGCUCCAAGUCAUAUUUUGAUGCGAUUCUAGUUGGGCUGGAAACUAGAAUUCCAUACAUUUCCGAUGAUAAAAGGAACACAUUCUAAUUCAUCAAGACCAGAGAGAACUAUUCAUUUGAAGUUGGGUUUUGAAGCUACCAGCAGAUUAGGAGAAAAACCGACAUGGUCUUAUUUUAAUUAGUUGGGCUGUUGAUCUAUCUUUGUUUUGUGUGGCAACAUUUAUUUAAGUUUCAGAUUUGUUUAUUUUAAUUAAUUUGGGCUAGUUUUUAACUUUGUUUGGGUAUCAUUUAAAUUGGAUUUAUGUGUGACUCAUUAAGGAAACUAGGGUUACUUAGCUUUCUAGAAUAAGUACUCUUUCUUUGUGAACAAUAUUUAAAAAAAAAAAAGAUUUUUGCAAAAUAAAAAUAUUGUCUCUCUUGGUUCUUGAUUGAACUUCAACUCUUUAAAGAAUUGACAAAUCUUUACUAGUGAUUUUAUACUUCUGUUGCUCGUCUCCAUGUGUAGGCAUUAUGAUUAGGUGGUUUAUAGUCUUGUUACCUUAAAGCAAGUCUUUCAUUGUGAAAAGCUUAAUUUCAUACUCAAACUUGGGUUAGAUAGAUCUUGGGUUCGUGAAUUCUAUUAAGUUCAGCUAGGGUUCGCAUCAAUAUUAGGUGACGACUCCUAUUCUUUGGUUUCAUUGAUAAAGAAAAAUAAUUCCUUAUUCUUUUCACCCACACCCUUUCACGCUUAAUCUCAUUUUGAAAGAACGAUCGUCGCGACGCCGCACACGUGUAACAUAACAUAUGACUGAAUAGAUUUUUUUCUCUUAAUAUAAUAAAAAACAACAAUCAUAAGUGGUUACUUUUUAUUUUUAUUAGAAAAUAUAGAGUAAGCUAUUGAGUUGUGGCCUUCAUACUGAUGUUUUAGCUUUACUAAACUUUCCCUACUUGAUGCUGCAAAAGAUCGACAUCAUUGAAACAAAAGAUGCUGAAAAUGAACAAAGACUUGACCAUAAGUUUUAAAGAUGCAUUAUUACUUCUCAAUAUUUACAUUUCGCAGGUCCAGUCAUUUGGACCCAAGAAAUAUAGAGUUAGCUAUCAACUUGUGGCCUUCGUACUGAUUCUUUACCAAGGCAUUACCUUUAUUGAAAAAAGAAUAUAGGAGUAAAAAACAAUUCAAUUUUAGCCAUUAUUAAUGGUCAGGGUUGGUAUUAAUGGACUCUCAUGAUCAUGGGUUGAUAUGCAUUUGGAACACUACAAAUCAUCCUUCAUCCUUGUGAAGUCUCCGGACAUUCCUUUGCAAAAUGUUUAGCUUUCUACUACAUCGGUUUUUGCAUCAUUUAGUUGGUUUUUUUUUUAUUCAAUGAAGGAGUUUUAGUUGCGUUUGUUAGUUUAAUAUGCCCUAUAACUAAUUAGUUGAUUACACGUGACGUUAUUAUAUUCAUAUAAAUAUAUAUUUAUUAUUAAUAAAGGCUUAACUUAUCUUAAAUAUUUAUAUAAUAUUAAAUUAAUGAAUCUAGAGUAAAGAUAAAGUUCAUCAGACAAAAAUGUUUUGCAAAGAAAAUUAUAAAGUUGUUAUAUUUAUGAGAUUUUUAUUGCAUAAAAAAGAAUGGGAUUAUAAAUGCUCUAUUUUCUCCUUUAUAAGGCUGACAACAUGGAGACAAUUAGGAGGAGAGAAAUUUCUGAUUUUUCCACCAAAAUUUGAGAUAAGAACACCACAAUUUGUCAAGUCUAUACAAGUUCUAGAUUACUAGGUAGGGAAAACAUCAUUUAGAAAGGGAAUUAGUAAGAAACAAGUGGAGAAAUUGUGAGGGGAAGAGAGGGAGAGGGUCAGUUGGUAUGCAAAGAGGGAGGAGCUGAAAUUUUUCAACCGAUUAAGAAUCAAAAUCCAAAUUAUCAUCAGGUAAGGAAUCUUAAACCUAAUUAUAAAAACCAAUUUUAAUUCGAUGAGGAAUUGUGCACUAAUCUUGAAUUGAAAUUAGAGUUCUUGAGUAAAACUGGGGGAAAUGUAGAAUUGGGUGAAAUUGGGUUAAUUAAAGUACUGUAAAUUACUUUGAACAUGAAAUCAUAUGGAAAUAUCAAAGAAAAAUCAAUGGUUAAAGGAACAAGAGUGGCCAACCAUUAGGGGAAUGAAUGGGAGGAGAAGAAUUUAUAAUUUUCUUGAUAAAGUCCUUAUAAUGUGUUGUUAUAAUCUAAACAAUGACUAAAUAAGAUAAAUGAUUGCAUGAGAAGAAGAAGGGGACCCUUGGUUUCUUUAGGCCAUGUUUCGGCCAAGGCAAGAUUAAGAGGGGAGCGAGGUGUUUUGAGAUUUUAUAUGUUAAUAAUGGGUAAAUUAGGUGUGGUAGAAAGUUUAUUAACAAGUGAAGCAUGAUAAUUUUAUAGUAAGGGAAUUUUAUAAAUUGAAUGCAUGUGUUAUGUAAGGUAGAAAUGAGUUUAUUGGUUAUAAUGUAUAACAUAUGGCUUGACUUAGGAGGAGUUGCAGAAUGUAGGAAAAUAUGGAAUCCAAUAAUGCAUAUAUUUCUUGAAAUAGUUUUUGAUCACUUUACAUAAAAAGGGGCAAAUUAGCUUAAGUGAUCACUAGGAGGUCAUAUUUAGAAAGGUUACCAUGCCUAUAAUAUAUGUCGCACCCGACAUUGCGGCGAUCUUUAAAGUAUCUCCAAAUGAAAAUAGAACAGAUUUCUUGCAUCUUCUUUUUAUAUAGGGAAAGGUCUAAUUUAAAGAGUCACCACCUAAUAUUAUGACUAAGAACCCUAACUAGUCAACAGAGAUUUUAUGGUACAAGACUGGUUAUGCAAACAAAAAGAUAUUAUUACCCCUUAAAUGUCCUACCUGAGGCAGGCCGCGUUGUUAGUUUUGUCUUAAAUUGCUAAGGGUUUGUUUUGUUUUGUUUUUGAUGGUCUGCUUUUAUUCCCGACUUUGACGCUAGUGAAUAUUCAAUUACGGAUACUUCCAACUCUAGCAUUGAUAAAUAUUACGUAACUAAAGUAAGUGUUGCUACCCAAUUUUUGACAAAUUUUUGAAAAAAAAACCAAAAAUAACAAAAAAUAAUGAAAACCGCAAAAAACACAUUCUUGAUAUAUUUACAUCGUUUUUAGCAUUUUCAACGUUGUCUCAAAAAAAUUUAAAUUUCAAAAGUCUGUUAAACGUGUUCAACUUCUAACGUGUUAUUUUCAAAAAAUUAUUGAUUUUCCUUAUUGAAGCGACGUUGAUAUUGCUCGGUUUCAGAAAAAUCAAAAUAUAGAUGGUUAACCUAGCAUAUGGGAAAAAUGACUCUUUUUUCUAUAAAUAGAGAAGGAUAAAUUAGAGCAAGAGGGGGCAGAGAAAAAUUUGGAAAAAAAAGAGGAUAGGGGAACCUUAAAAAAUCUAUCUUCUCUACCAGCCGCUGCCCCACCCUCUCUUUUGAAAAAAUAGAGAGAACCAAAGGCAACCAAUCUUUCCCCCAUUUUCCAUAGACCUUCCCAUUUCCUCUCCUUCCCCCUUUGCCAUUUCAACACCUCCAACCUAAACCAGUGUCGUCUCCAGCUCCUUCUCCCCUCAACUACAGCCUCUCAUCUCCAUCACCAGGAGCCCCCAUUUCCCUCUACAACAGCCAAACUCCCUGUAAAUCCCGGGAAAAUCAAGGCUGGAUUAAAUUAAAGAAAAUAAACUAAACUAAAAAGAAAUUGGGGCAAAAUGAAUACACUUAAAGAAAAUGGGGCCUAAAUAAAAAUAAGAAUAAUUAUAGAGUAUAAAUACUCCUCUUCUCAUAAGAAAAAAAAAAGAUCUGCAGCUAUCAUAAAGAAAGAAAGAGGGAGUUUUUGUAUCCAUUUUUACAAAUCAAGAGAGAAACACAAAAAUUCCAAGAACCCAUCCAAGAUUAAGGAUUAUACGUAGAAUAAACACUGGUGGGCAAGGGAUUAACAAGAAAAUUUGAACAAGAAGAGAAGAGGGGAGGGCCAGCUGUCAUUAGGAAGAAAAGGAGGGAGUUGAAGAUCGAAACCUUGAUUCGUACCGGGUAAGGUGUUCUAAACAUGGUUUUAUGAGUCAAUUAUAAAUUGAUGCCUGGAUGUUGAAUUAUAGUUUAGAGUUCUUAGACUUGAAUUGAGGAAGAAGUAUGAGUUGCUAAAUUAAAUAACUUCAUGUGUUGUGUGUAAAUGGAAAGGUUGACGAAUCUGAACAGUUUUGUCUCUUCACUUUUAGAGGGAUUUUAUGUAGGAGGAUGAAGGAAUUAGGAUCAGGUUCCUCAUAGAAAUUGUAGUUUUAGAUGUUGACUAACUAAGAAAAUUGAUCUUGCUCAAUUUGGAGUUAUAGAACUCCAGCUAUGGGUCACCAACCAAGACUGGGUCACGACAGACUCUGUAGGGUAAUAGGUCUAGUUCGUUGAUAAACAAUUUUGACUACCUUGGAGGUAGAACUAGGUUCUUCUUCCUUCAGAGAACUUAUAGCCUCAUGUCUUAACUUUCCAACGAGACCAAUCUCACUUGAAACAGAGUUCUAUAACUCUAGAUAUAGUUAAAAAUAUGAGGAGAGGUCGGACAGUAACAGUUCAAUGUCUAGAUAGUAACAAUUCAAUCUCUAGACAGUAACUGUUGGACAGUAACAGUCCAAUAUAUAGUAAUGGUUGGACAAUCCAAUAUAAAUGUCUAGACAGUAACUGUUGGACAGUAACAUUCCAAUAUAUAGACAGUAACAGUUCAAUGUUUAGACAAUAACGGUUGGACAGUAAUAGUCCAAAUGUUUGUUGAUGAGCAAUUUUGACUAUCUUAGAGGCAGAACUGGGUUCUCAUUCCUUGUAGCCUCAUGUCUUAGCUUUCCAACGAGACCAAUCUCGCUUGAAACGGAGUUCUAUAACUCUAGAUAUAGUUAAACAUCCGAGGAGAGAUCGGAUAGUAACAGUUCAAUGUCUAGACAGUGACAGUUUGGGAUUUAAACAGAAAUAGUUCAAAUAUAAAGAAAUGAAUGAUAACUAUGGUUGGACAAAGAACAACAAUAUUAAUGGGUGAAAUGAGAAAAACAUAAACUAUUAAGAAAUGACUAAAAGAAAGAUUUAUUGGUUGUUAGCAUGGUUACUAUAAAACAUAUCCUUGAGUGAGGAAAAUUUAUGAGAUAAACCUGUGAUUUGCAGGAAGGACCACAGGCGUGGUGCAACAGCAGCAGCAGGGGAACACGAGUAGAGCUUCUAUUGCAGGUAGGUGAAUCGCACCUAUACUUUCUAAGUUAAAUUCCAUGAUUUAAUAUAUUACCGAUGUGAGAUGUGAAUUGCUAAAUGUAUGUGUAUUCAAGGUGAAAGGUUGUUGUGUGAAUUGUCGAGUGAUGAAAUUAUCGCUGACAAAGGAAAUAUGAGAAGUGUGAUUUGAGGCGUGAACUAGCAUAUAUUUAGUGUAUGUUAGGAUCCUGGAUAAGGGGAUCGCCACAUUGGACUAACAUACAUUUAGUGUAUGUUAGGAUCCCGGGUAAGGGGAUCCCUAUGUAUUGGCUAGCAUACAUUUAAUGUAUGUUAGGAUCCCGGGUAAGGGGAUCACCAUGUAUUGGCUAGCAUAUAUUUAGUGUAUAUCGAACAUAUAUUGACUAGCAUACAUUUAGUAUAUUUAGGAUCCCAGGUAAGGGGAUCAAGCAUGUAUUGACUAGCAUACAUUUAGAGUAUGUUAGGAUCCCGGGUAAGGGGAUCACCAUGUAUUGGCUAGCAUACAUUUAGUGUAUGUUAGGAUCCCGGGUAAGGGGAUCACCUUGCAACGACUCCUACGAGGUGAUAAUGAUGAUGCUAGUGAAAUUGGUAUCGGUAAUGUGUUAAGCAAAAAUAAUCAUGUUUGAUCUUAUAAAGUCUGGAAUGGAGGUUGAUAGUGUAAGAGGGAACGAUUAUUAAUAGUUGAACAAAGAAGAGAUUUUAAUGAAAACCAGAAGGGAGAAGUGAAUAAAAUAUGAAUGCAUGUUACCCUUUUAAAAUUGUUAGAUAAUCGUGUUGUUAUAUUUAUUGUGAUAUUCACGUUUCAAUAAUAUAUAUUUUGUUUCAGGAUCAUCGUAUGCACGACAGGAGUAGAUCCUAACUUAUGUUCCCUUCUUGUAAUCUAGGUUCUCGGGAGUAUACCCUUAUAUUUUGUAAACAUGAAAAUGUUUGUAUAACUUAAUUUGUAUAACUAAUGUUUAAACUUGAAUGAAUGAACUUAACUUUGUAGUUCAUAUAACCAUAUUUCAUGUCUAUGUGUUUAUAUUUUUAUCCAUCCAUAAUAAUAUUUUAUUAUAUAAUGUAUAUCAUAAAUAUUGUGGUUGAUAGGUGUGAUAAUAUUUGUGGAAUUGAAACCCAAGAUGAUUGGGUCGGGAUUGAGUUAUGAGAUGCGAGUCAUUAGAAGUGUAAACAGGUUACAUGUCGAUAACUUGGGACCUUCCGGCAUAGAGGGACUCCGUCGAAAUUUCAGUAGAUUUUAAUAUGAAGACCAUAAAUAUAAAAAAUAAUAAUUAAUUACUCUGUUUUUUGGUUGACAUGAGAUUGUUGUUUUUAUUUCGAUAUAGGGGGGAUGUUACACUCCCUCUAUCCUCUCCUCUCCCAGUCGGCUCACUCUUCUUCACCCAUAGAAGCCAGCUCCCGCUACACUUCCAGCCGCCGCAAACAGCAGCAAUCAAAUGGACCAAGAGGAAGAGAGAACAUAAAUGAAAGAGAAGACACGCUGCCAUUGUUCCUUCAGAUUCCAGAAAGCCUUCCCUGCAAUUCUUGUAUUGUUUUGGGUCUAUUUGUAAAUUUUAAAUUAUUUAAGGUUUUGUUUGAUUUAUUUUGAAUUAUGGAUAUCGUACCCUCUCAAGAGCGCGACGUUGCGGCGACCCUUCCCAGAGCGGGGAAUCAUGUCGGGGGUCUUUGUUUCAUGAAAAAGGGAGUCGUCACCUAGUAUUAUGGUCACCAGGAAACCUAACUAGUCUUUUAGAGAUUUUAAGGCAAGGGCUAGUUGCGUAAAGGGAAGGUUUUAGCACCCCUAGUACGCCCUACCUAAGGUAAGUUGCUUAGUGUUUGGUUUGCCUUAUAAUUGCUAUGGUGUUGGAGUUCUCUAAUCCCAUCAGUUUUUUCUAGGAUAGGUUUAGUAUGAUGAAUAAACUUGGGCUCAAAGUGUAAAAGAUAGAGCCCUUGGCCAUAUUGAUCAUACCUUAAGAUAUGUCUAUAGAGUGCCAAAGAGAACCAACACAGAUCUCCUGAAAUCUGUAUUUGAUUCAGACUAAAUUUACAACCUGUGAAUUAAUAGGCAGCUAAGAUAAAGAUCCAAGGAGAUUCAAUGUGCUUUAAAAGCUUAUUUUUCCCUUAGUAUUUCAAAUAUUCGCAACUCGUAAAUCGUGGAGCAAAAAUUGAAAUGUCCCCAAUUAUAAUUGAGGCUUCUUUCAAGGAUUUGCAAUUAAAUUGUUCAAAAUAACUUUUUUGGCAUAUAUCUACCCUUAAAAAUGAACAAGUUGUAUUACUCUUAACAAUAUUUUGGACAUUUGUCUUUCAUAGGUUUCUUUGCCUUUAUAUUAUUAAGGGGGUAAUGUCCUCUUAUUCCUAUAAAAAUAUUUUUAGUUAUUAACCACUUGGGGUUUCUUUGUCCAAAUAUUAAUAGUGAAUAAUAACGAAUUAUUCCUAAUAAUGUUUUGGAUAUUAACCCUUUGAGAUUUCUUUAUACAAAUAUUAAUAGUGAAAAAGGAUCAGUUGCCCAAAAAUAAGAUUUUUAUAUUUUUGGAAUAUUGGCCAAAACACUUUGGAAUUUACAAACAUGUAAAAUCCAAAAUGCAAGAAAAUAAUUAUUUUUUUUGUAUUUAAGAAAUCCAUCCUAAAACACAUUUUUGAAAUUUCAAAUACUUAUUUUUUCAAAUACUUAUUUUUUCAAAUAAAAGGAAUGUUCAAAAUAUGCAUGGAAACAUCUUUUUGUUUUUUCAGGUAUAUAUAUAUAUAUAGUGUAACAUCUUGUUGAAAGAUGAGUAUUUUAAUACCAUAUUUGUAUUUUUUACAAUAUCAAAAUACGGAACUUAAAAUAAAUACACCAAAAAACCACAAAUCUCUCUCUCUAUGUUUUUUUUUCAGGGGGGGAGCCGGUCCAGCUCGGCCCAUGCUGGGCUGGACCUAGUAGGCCUAGCCGGGUCACUUGCCCAAGCCAGUGACCCGACUGGGCAAACAAGAGGCAUGCGGGAGUUUCCUCACGCGUGCAUGCUCAGUUACUAUUCAAGUGAAUUAUAAUUCACUUGAACAGUAAAAUGCAAAUGAAAAUGCAUAUAUAGAGACGAAAAGAACAAACCUAGAGGCGGAAACGAAGAGACGACAAUGAUGUUGAAGGCGUGUUGGCUGGUCUAUUAGCGCUUUCAUCUGUUUUAGCUCUUUCCCUUCUAUUCUUUGUUGGCGUCCGUCUUCUGAGUUUUAUCUCUGUGUCUUCGUCCUUCUCUCUACUGGUUUUUUGGUCUCUCUCCUCCCUCUUCUCUUCUGUCUCUUUUUUUUUUGGUAUUCUUUUUUGCCUCCUCCACGUCUGUGUGUUUUUCCGUUCUUCACUUUGUAUCCAUUUUCUUUUGCGUCUAGCCCUCUUUGUUUCUUUUUUUCUCUUCUUCUCCUAGUUUUUUUAGCUCCCCUAUUCUCCCGUGUUCUCUGUGUUUUUCCUCUCCUCUCUUUUCUUCUUUGCUUUGGUCAUCAUAGGAGGCAUAUAUAUAGCCUAUACAAUAGCUCUAUUUAUGAAAGCCUCAUUACACUAAUCUAGGAUAUAAUCUUGGCUGAUUUACAAUCAAAUAAAUCAAACAAGGAAACUAAAAUAUUUUGAUUCCUAUUAUAUGAUUCUAGUAAUUAUUCUCUACAUUAACACUCUCAUCCUAGCCGUCUAUGUUAGGGAUAAAAUCCCAACCAUUAGAUGAUGGUGAGGUUCCUCUCUUUAUGUCAUUUUGCACCUGGCACAGAGGAGACGCAAAAUGAUUUCCCUUACGAAAUUCCAGCAAAAUUCCUUCUAAUUUCAUCUUCAAUCAACUCCCUUAUUUUAGCACCUUUUUCAAUUCAGUCUUUGGUCCAAAAAAAAAGUCCUUCAAAGUGGCCCGCAAUUGAUCUUCAAACUUUAAGCAUCUUGCAAUUGUGUCCCUGCAAACUUGGGCCAAAAUCCUUCUUGCGACAGGAUUCUCUACUUUCAGACUAGGUAUUCAAACAUGAAUAUCUUGAGCUUCUGAUAUCAAAAUCAAGUGAUUCAGAAACCAAAAUUCAUCUACACGUACAGGACUACAACUUUUAUGAAGGAUUCAAAGUAAGAUAAAAUCAUUUUGAAGAACAAAAUCUGGUCGUAAACUGGAUGGUCGAAAUGGGUCUCUUGAUCUGAUUUGGAAACUUACAAUGCCGAACAUCCCAAUAUAACUAAGAGUCUGACAUAAGAACAAUAAUCCCUAGGACCCAAUAAAGGUGCAAAUCAAUUCUUUAACGUGUCAUGAAUGAAAUAAUAUAGUUGGGAUGGUCGGAUAUUGCACAAAACUAAGUCAGAAUCAAAGUCCAAGUUGGAACAAAAUUAAUAUUACAAGUAGAAUUGUGACAGCAGUAAAAACAACUUUUUUAGUAUAAAUUUUAAAGGAUUUAUCCAAACUUAAAAACCAGAUAAAGAAAGAACAAGUUUAGCAUCAUGAAGUCUCCUAAUUAGUCUAAGAAUCCUGAUGAUUUCGGCAGCAAAGGAGGAGGAUAAGGAGACUAGAAGACAACUGAAACAGGGUUCGAAAAACAUUUCUUUAUUCUCUGCUUUUGUCAAUCUUCCAGCAACCAUGAGCUAAACUCCAGCAUUCGGUUCAAGAGGGAUACACACCAUCUCUAACACGUGGGGCUAAAAAAAGAGUAAAAAUAGAUGCCCCCUCUUUACAAAACUUAAGAAGCCAAGACUUGUCAAGUGCUUUGUAAAGAUAAAUUGUCUGAUCACACUAAAACUCUAUGCUUUCUUAAAGAUGGUCUUGUUAUUGGGUGACCUAUCUGUUUUGAAAUUGAAGAGGAUUUUAGAAGGGGUCUCAAUACCUAGAGACUUGCCCGUUUUAAAGAUUUUUAGAAAAACUCCAUAUUUUUUUCUAAAAAAAUGGUUUCAAUGUCAGGUGACCUGCCCGUUUUAAGAUUUUUUAGAAAAACUCCACACUUUUUCUAAACAAUGGUCUCAAUAUUAGGUGACCUGCCCAUUUUAAGAUUUUUAGAAAAACACCAUGUUUUAUCUCAGAAAUGAUCUCAAUAUCGGGUGACCUGCUCAUUCCACACUUUUUCUAAAAAUGGUCUAGUAUCGGGUGACCUGCCUAUUUUAAGAUUUUUAGAAAAACUCCAUACUUUUUGUAAAACUGGUCUCAAUAUCGGGUAAUCUGCUCAUUUUAAGAUUUUUUAGAAAAACUCCAUGCUUUUUCUAAAUAAUGGUCUCAAUAUCGGGUGACCUGCUCGUUUUAAGAUUUUUAGAAGAACUCCAUGCUUUUUCUAAAAAAUGAUCUUAAUAUCGGGUGACCUGCCCGUUUUAAGAUUUUUAGAAAAAACUCCACGCUUUUUUUUUUAUAAAAAAAAUGGUCUCAAUAUCGGGUGACCUACCCAUUUUAAGAUUUUUAGAAAAAAAACUCCACGCUUUUUUCUAAAAAAUGGUCUCAAUAUUGGUUGACCUGCUCGUUGUGAACUUCAAAAGAAAUCAUCUUACCUCGAGGAAUACAGUAGUGUUGGUUCACAAUUCAUAUUCUUUUUCGUAGUUUCGUUGGCUUGAGAUUCUGUAUCUCAGCGGUUCCUAAAAAAUUGGAACUAUUUUGGCUUUCGUCACACCUUUCCUGCCAAGUUAGUGUUAUGACAAUAUAGCUUGCAUGUUUUUGUUACCUAUUUUGGAAACAUAGGUCUCCCUUUCUAUUAUAGCCUUCUUCGAGCUCCUGUUUCCAUUUCUUUGCCCGACCUAUCUUCUAUAACCGAAACAUGCUCCACAUGCUACAUUUCCUAUCCUUUUCAUGCUUGGUGAAGAGAUCUCUAGUUCCUUAUGGGGCCCUUUGUUGCUCCAUUGAAUAUUGCCUUCUAUUAUACUUUUGCCGAUGGUUUUUUAAUUGCCUUUUCUAAUUUUAAGAAAUUAUUUUACAAGGAAAACUCAAAAGAUCUGGUUUUGUUCAUGAAAACUGAAACUUUCAAUGCAUCAUCAUACUUUGUUUUAAGCAAUUCUCAUAAAAGGUGUUUCAGAGGUUUUUAUGAUGAUACCCCUUAAUGUUGGGCUUUGGUUCAGUAUGUACCUCUAUGUGCACUUCCUGCCCUAGUGUGGUGUACAAUACAUGUUACGUUAAGAUCUGGUUUGGUUCCCUCCAAUUUGGGAAUUGAUAAAGUCAUCUUGAGCAUCUUAGUCAUGUGUAAAAUAGUUCUUUUAAGUAAACGAUUUCAAAUGCUAUGAGAUCAUGUGCUUUAUGAAGAAAAGAUUCUUUACAAAGAGAAUUUAUGGUUGAACUUUAUUUUUUUGAUUGGGAAAUUACGGAAAACAUCAAGCAUAAUAUUUCUUUAUAGAGUCAGAAUUCACAGGUCUAACUAGAUCUUCUCCAUCCAUUCUAGAUAACAGUAAAGCUCCUCCCGAGAACGCUUUACUUCACCACGUAAGGACCCUCAUAGUUUGGCGCCCAUUGACUUUGAACUUCUCUUGGCAAAGGCAAUAUUUUCUUUAGAAUAAGAUCUCCUUCGUGGAAUUCUUGAGGUUAGACCUUCUUGUCAUAUGAUUUAGCCAUCCUUUUUUGGUAUAGUUGAUGAUGACAUAUUGCAGUGAUCCUCUUUUCAUUGAUUAGUUUCAGCUGUUCAUAUCUAACUUGUGCCCAUUCUACCUCUUUUAGCUUAGAGUCUAUCAAUACUCUCAAUGAGGGGAUUUCCACUUCUAAAGGCAUCACUACCUCCAUUCCGUAUACCAAUGUGUACGAGGUGGCUCCUGUUGAGGUUUGGACUGCGGUGCGGUAUGCAUGAAGGGCAAAUGGCAACAUCUCAUGCCAAUCCUUGUAGGUGACUACCAUCUUCUGAAUAAUCUUCUUGAUAUUUUUGUUAGCAACUUCUACCGCACCAUUCAUCUUUGACCUAUAUGACGUGGAAUUGGAAUGCUUGAUUUUCCAUCUAGCAUAGAGUUCUAUUAUCAUCUUGCCAUUGAAGUUCUGGGCAUUAUCAAUUAUAAUCUUUUCUGGUGGACCAUAUCGAUAGAUCAAAUCUCUUUCAAUAAAUUUCUUCACCACUUUUUGCGUUACAUGAGCAAAUGAACCGGCUUCUACCUAUUUUGUAAAGUAGUCGAUAGCCACUAGAAUAAACCUAUGACCAUUGCUGGCUUUUGGGUUGACAGACCCAAUCACAUUAAUUCCCCACAUUGCGAAGGGCCUGGAGAUGUCAAGUUAAAUAAAGGAACUAGAGGGGUGUUGAUUUUAUCACUGUACACCUGGCAUUUAUGGCAUUUUCAGACAUAAUCGACGCAGUCCUUUUCUAAUGUCAUCCAAAAGUAACCGACCCUUUGUAUCGUUCUAGCCAUCAUGUGUCCACUAACAUGGGUUGAGCAAAUCCCUUCAUAGACUUCCCGUAAUGUGUUUUUUGGCCUCAACUUCAUCCAAACAUCUCAACAAAGUCCCGUCGGAUGAUUUCUUAUACAAAAUCUCCCUAUCAAGAUAACCUCCUCAAGGUCUUCUUGUCGAUUUUAAAUGCCCCCAUGGGAUAUGCCUGGUUUUGGAUGAAAUUCUUGAUAUCAUAGUACCAAGGGUUUCUGUCUAUUUCUCUUUCGACCGAGCAAUAAUGAGUUGGGUUAUUUCUGAUAUCAAUGAGUAACAAUUUUACCUUGUGCCCAAAGUUUAUUCUAGCCAUAGAAGCUAGUGUGGCCAAAGCAUCAGCAAACUAGUUUCCUUUCCUUCCUAGAUGGGUGAACUCUAUUUCCUCAAAUUCUCCAGCCAGUUUGGAUAGGUAUUCUUGGUAAGGCCUUAACUUCUCUUCCUUGGUUUACCAUUCUCCUUUUACUUGGCAAAUGAUCAGCAUUGAGUCUUCAUACACAUCUAUCUUUCUGAUGUUCAGCUCCAAUGCAGCCUCUAAACCCAUAAUACAAGCUUCAUACUCAGUUGUGUUGUUGGUGCACCCGAACUGCAACUUAACUGAAAUUGGAUAAUGUUUCUUAUCAGGAGAGAUUAUCAUUGCACCCGCUCCGUUACCACUAACAUUUACAGCACCAUCAAAGUACAUAAUCCACCAAUCUAAUUUCUCUUCCUCGACUGAAAGCACAUCUUCAUCAGGAAAGUCAAAGUUUAAUGGCUCAUAAUCUUUCAUAACAUGGUCAGCUAGGUGAUCAACAAUAACACUCCCUUUCACAACUUUCCUUGUCAUAUAUAUUAUGUCAUACUCAACCAGUAAAACCUACCAUCUUGCAAUUCGACUCGAUAGAUAAGGCUUUUCACAGAUGUACCUCAACUGGUCUAAUUUGAAAAUUAACCACAUAGUAUGAUACAACAUUUAUUGACGUAAUCUCUUUGCAGCCCAUGCUAGUGCACAACACAGCUUCUCAAUCAUAGUAUACCUAGACUCACAUUCCGUGAACUUUUUGCUUAGGUAAUAAAUGGCCAUUUCCUUCCUUCCGGAUUCGUCAUAUUAUCCAAGCACACAUCCCAUUGUCGUUUCAGUUACUAUUAAGUACAAUAUCAACGGCCUUUCUGGUACAGGAGGAGCAAGCAGGGGUGGAUUCAAUAGGCACUACUUAAUUUUCUCAAAAGCCUCUUCGCACUCUUCAUUCCAAAUUCUAGGAUUCUUCUUCCUUAACAAAUUAAAGAUUGGGUUACAAGUCGUGGUUAAUUGGGAUAUAAACCGAGCAAUGUAAUUCAACCUUCCUAAGAACCCUCUUACAUCCUUCUCAAUUUUGGCAGUUGGUAUAGAUUAAAUAGCCUUUACUUUGUCAGGAUCCACUUCUAUCCCUUUGUCACUCACCACAAAUCCCAACUUCCCAAAUUUCACCCUAAAUGAACACUUUGUAGGGUUAAAGCCUCAAAUUAUAUUUCCUUAGUCUUUCAAACAAUUUCUUCAAUAUUUGGACAUGAUUCUCUUCCUCUCUAGAUUUAGCAAUCAUGUCAUCCACGUAUACUUCAAUCUUUUUGUGCAUCAUGUCAUGAAAUAGAGUCACCAUGGCCUUUUGGUAGGUGGCCCGGCAUUCUUUAACCCAAAUGGCAUGACCUUGUAACAAAAGAUUCCCCAUGGUGUUACAAAGGUUGUCUUCUCCUUAUCCUCUUGCGCAUUUUUAUUUGAUUGUAGCCCGAAAAUCCAUCCAUAAAGAAAUAUAUGGAGCUACGUGUCGCAUUGUCAACUAACAUAUCUAUGUGUGGUAAAGGAAAAUUAUCUUUAGGGAUAGCCCGGUUUAAGUCCCUGAAGUCCACACAAACUCUAAUUUUAUCUUCCUUUUUGGGUACUACCACUAUGUUGGACACCCAGUAUGGAUACUUGACUACUUCUAAAAAACCAGCAUUCCACUAUUUUUUUUAUUUAUGCCUUUACUUUGAUUAAGACCUCCGGAUGAGUUCUUCUCAACUUUUGCUUAAUCAACUUGCAUCCUUCUACUAGUGGUACCCUAUGUACUACGAUAUCUGUAUCUAAACCAGGCAUAUCCUCGUAGGACCAAGCAAAAACAUCUACGUAAUCUCGGAGUAGUGCAAUCAACUCUUCUCUUUCUUUAAGGGUGAUCAGAGUCCCUAUCUUCAACUCUCUCUUGAUUUCUUCAUUGCCCACAUCUAUGGUUUCAAGUUUCUCUUUAGCGGGUUUCCAAGCUUGUUCAUGUUAUUCUAUUAAUUUUGUGAAUUCUCUAAUGUUAUUUUCAUCCCAUUCUUCCUCUUCUACAACUACUAUAUAUUCUUUAAUGUCUGGCCAUUCAUUCUUAGUGUAAAGUGUAGGUGUUGUUGUAAAAGAUCCACUUUCAGGGUUCCUGAAAGCUGAAAGUGAUGUGUAAAUGCACAGUAAGACAUCAAGAUGAACUUUGAAAAUGUAUGAUCUCAUUAAAAGGAAAAGGUUGGCUCAAAACUAAGGAUAAAAUUCAAUUGACAUCUUGAGCCUCGAUUGUCAAUAAUUAAAAAAAACAAAACAGAAAAAAGGCAAACAACACCGACAAUAUCAUAAUCCAAGCAUUGUUGAUUACAUUUUGAACACCAAUGGAGCUUCUUGGGUCUCGCAAUUCUGGAAAUUCUCUCCUUCGACUACCUUUCGAACGAAAGCCCUGGCGGUAACUUUUUCCAGAGUGUAGAUGGUUAAUUACGGCAACUCUUCAUCCCUUCUUCCAGAUUCAGUCUUCCCAGCAAUGCCUUUGACUUUAUCUUCCUCCAUAAUGUUUAUGUUCACAUCCAUAAUGUUUAUGUUCACAGAAGAAAGCUUCUAAAGAAAGAUUUCAUUUCCCUUAUCAGGUUGCAUCACAUAUGCAGCCUUUAGGAAUGAAACCCUGAUUGAAGGGAUGACUAAGUUUUCUUUUUCAGGCUUCCUUCCUUCAAUCCUAACCAUUCUCUUCUCCCUUCUUGCACUAGCAACUCGUAUGUAAUCCUCUUUCUUAGGCUUAUAUCCAAGCCCAAACAUCUGUUCUACAGCUUUUAGCUUUAUAAUAUUAAUCCACUCAGGUUUUCCUUUUUCGACGUCAUAUUAAAAAGGAAUAUUGUGCUUCAAAAAGCUUUUAGCGGCCAUUUUGGUGGCCUCUCAGAUCUCUGGUUUCCUCACCAUAAUGUUCUCAGGUACCCAUUCGGUAUUCACAACCUCAAAUGCAUAAAGGUUUCCAUCCCUACAAUCUUUAGUUUCAAUGAACGGAACCACCACAUUUCUCACCAUUGAUAUAGUCUCCUCAGCCUUUACAGUAACUAGAGAGCCAUUUGCAAUGUACUUCAAACAUUGAUGCAGCGAGGAGCGUCAAGUUCAUCUUUCGUGAAAUAAAAGUAAUUGGCAGCAUGGAUCCUCCCUACUAGAUGCUUCAUAGCCUUUUGUUCAAUAUCUUGGGGUACGUUGGCCUCAUUUAGUACUUUUUGCAAAGCAUUCUGAUGCAGCUCGGAGCUGAGUAUUAAUGACAUGAUUGAAAUCUUAGCAAGAGUCUUCUUUAGCUGAUCCACUAUACAGUACUCACUAUGCUUCAUCAAUUUCAGGAACUCAUUUGUCUCUUCCUCAGUCACGGGUUUAUUCACCUCAAGCUCUUUAUCAAGGUCAACCACCUCUUUACCCUUAGCCUUUCUUUGCUUCUCUAAUUCUUCAGGUGUGAAACAACAAACACUCCGGGUUAGUCCACUUAUCUCAGUUCAGAACAAAGGCAAGAGAGCUUCGAUAUUUGAGGUAUAACCAUAAUUGCCAAGCAUUGCUUUAUAAUAUACUUUGUUUGCACAUGAGAGCUUAGUUAAUACCAACUUCGAGAGCCCAUUAGUUGUUGAUUGGACCCUACACUUCUCCAGAUUCUCUCGAUAUCUGAGUUACUCAUGUACAUUUGCUACAGGAAAAGGGUAAUUAAAAGUGAAAACGAGGGGAUGAAAUGACUUACCUGUUGUUGGACUGUUAUUGCCAAUUUCUUGAGCGAAGAUUGAUGCAGGCACUCGUUGUUGGGAAAACUGGUAUUAUUCCUUCUGUAUUUGUUUUCCUAUUCUGUUUUGCAUACACUGAGGUUUGUAUCUAUAAUGUCAAAGUCCUUUCACGUGUGAGAAACAAAGUUUCAAUCAAACUCAUUCUCUUUUUUGAAGUUUGAAUUUGAUUAAAAAUCAAAUUUGAAAGCGAAUAACUAUCAUUAUCUUGAAGACAAGGAUUAUCUUGAAGAUACGGAUUAUCUUGAAGAUAAGGAUAGAAUGAUAAAAGUACAUUGGAGUCCCUAGUUUUCACGCAAGUUGACAAAUCACACUUUUCAUCAAAAUAAAUAUCUGAUCUUUUAAUUUUACAUUUUAAACCUUGUAAAAUUAAAUUAAAAAGCCAAUGGGCUAAAAUUGGGUUACAACAGUUGCCCUCUUUUUACAAUGCUUACGGUGCAAAGGCAUUAGAAAAUUUAUUUUCUUUUGACUUUGUAUAGUAAGUAUUGUAAAAAAGAAUAAUUGUGAAAACCCUUCCUCUUUUUCUUUCUUUUUUGUUAUUGAUGAUUUUUUUUGUUUUGUUUUUUUGGUUUUUUUUAAUGGUCUAAUUGUUCCAGGCGACCUGCCCGAUGAAGAAUGAAAUGUGAAAAGGGUUUCACGAGUGGUCUAAUUGUUCCAGGCGACUUGCCCAAUAGGAAGAAGCAACGCGAAGGAUUUCGCGAGUGGUCUUAUUUUUCCAGGUGACCUACCUGGUGAAGAAUAAAACGCGAAAAGGGUUUCGCGAGUGGUCUAAUUGUUCCAGGCGACCUGCCCGAUAGGAAGAAGCAACGUGAAGGAUUUCGCGAGUGGUCUCACUUUUCCAAGUGACCUGCCCGAUGAAGAAUAAAACACGAAAAGGAUUUCGCGAGUUGUCUAAUUGUUCCAGGCGACCUGCCCGAUAGGAAGAAGCAACGCGAAGGAUUUCACGAGUGGUCUCAUUUUUCCAGGUGACCUACCUGAUGAAGAAUAAAACGCGAAAAGGGUUUCACGAGUGGUCUAAUUGUUCCAAGCGACCUGCCCGAUAGGAAGAAGCAACGCGAAGGAUUUUGUGAGAGGUCUCAUUUUUCCAAGUGACCUGCCCGAUGAAGAAUAAAACGCGAAAAGGGUUUCGCGAGUGGUCUAAUUGUUCCAGGCGACCUGCCUGAUAGAAAGAAGAAUCGCGAAGAAUUUGGCGAGUGGUCUCAUUUUUCCAGGCGACAUGCCCGAUGAUAAAAUGUGAGGGAACUCGUAAAUGGUCUCAUUGUUCUAGGCGACCUGCACGAUGGUGAAAAUACAGAUAGAGAUUUUUUUUUUACAAGUGGUCUCACUGUAAUGGGUGACCUAUCUAGGUGGGAAAAUACAAAGAAAGGGUCUCAUUGUAAUGGCUGACCUACCCAGGUAUAGAAAACAAAAAAAAGGCCUCAUCGGUGCAUUAUCCCCGGGAUGGGAGCUCAAAGAAGCACUUAAAAGGGAGAUGAGGGCUCGAAUGCACACUUGAAAGAAGGUGAAGGCUCGAAUGUGCGCUUGAAAAGGAGGUGAGGGCUCGAAGGUGCACUAAAAAGGAGGUGAACGCUCGAAGGCACAUUCAAAAAGGAGGUGAGGGCUCGAAGGUGCACUAAAAAGGAGGUGAACGCUCGAAGGCACAUUAAAAAAAGAGGUGAGGGCUCGAAGGCACACUCGAAAGAAAAUUAGGGCUCGAAGGUGCACUCAAAAGGAUGGUCGAGGGCUCAAAGGCGCACUCGAAGGAGGUGAAGGCUCGAAAGCACACUCGAAAGAAAAUGAGGGCUCGAAGGCGCACUCAAAAGGAUGGUCGAGGGCUUGAAGGUGCACUCGAAAGAAAAUGAGGGCUCGAAGGCGCAUUCAAAAGGAUUGUCGAGGGAUCAAAGACGCAAUCGAAGAAGGUGAGGGCUCGAAGGCGCACUCAAAAGGAGGUAGGGUAAGGAAACGCACUACCUUAGGGAUGAGAAAUGAAAGGUGGUGGAAAAAUACAAAGAUUUGUUUUUUGCCACCUGAUUCUCAUAGGCAGCCUGCCCAGGUUAAAAUUUCUCAUAGGUGAAAAAUUUUCAAAAGCAAUUUCAAUCUUGGCCAUUUCAAGGUGGCCUUUCGUUUGAUAGAUCUUGAUAGAGAUUUCUCCUGUGAAGUUUGCAAAACUCAUUGUCCAAUGUCACAAAGUUUAGAUGAUAUGCAUGCAUCUUUAUCUGAUUUGAAAUAUAGGCCCCCAUUUCUUCUUAAUCUUCUUGUUUGCUUGAUUGAUGAUGACUAGCUAUCUCUGAUUUGGGUCAUCUUCAUCGUUUAGCUUCUAGCCUACUCGAGUUGGCCCAUGUAAGUCUCUUCCCAGAUUCGUUUACACAGCUUACCCUUUAUGGUGCCCAUCGUGACCCACUUGCUUGCUAGAGAUUUUUCAUAUUGCCAAAUAAUUUGAGAGGAUCAUUCAUUAAUCCCUGUCUCACUUUUAAAAACAUUCGUUAUCACUUUACGAAAGGAUCAAGCUGCCUUUUAUAAACCAAGAUGCCCCCUUGUCUUGUUAUAGGAAAUGCUCAUCUCUUUUUCUAGAACGGAUUGAUUUUUCCUUCUAAACAUAAUGUUGCCCCCUUGUACUGGUCAUUGCUCUUAGGUGUGCUUUGUCAGCAACUCUGCCAAAUAAUGGUUUUUAAGCGACCAUUUUCUCAUUUCUCCCAUUUUCAGUUUGGUGAAGGAAUAUUUGUCCAUAAUGAAUAUUGAAAUCUUGAUCUUGUAUUUUGAAAACAAAAAUUUUGAUGUAAGUUUAAAAGCAUUUGCUUUUGAAAUCUUGCAACUCCUUGGUUUUUUCUUGAAAAAGAGAUUAUUUGCUCUUGUAUUUGGUGUUAUUGUCUUUGGUGAAAAUACAUCAUGAGGUGACCUUCUGUUUCUUAUGGGUUUUCAAAGUGAAGGGCUCGAGAAAAAGCUCGAGGUUUUGUUUGAGAAAAACUUGUCUCUUUUUGAACACUCAUUUUAUCAGCAUGAAUAAUAAUGAAUAGUUUGUUUUCGAUGUCAUGACUCCUAUGAAAAAGUACUCUUUGCAUUUUGAGAGCAUUGUUUAUUGUUCUAGGUUACUUGCUUUCUUGAUUAGAAAGGACUUCUACAAGCACGUAAUGUAGGUUGUGGUUUUUGGCUAUGAAAGAAAAGGAUUCAUAAGGCUCAAAGAGUGUUUCAGGGUUUCAAAGACUAAGGAUCACUAUCAAUAGUUCGACUCUUUGUAUCAUUCCUCUUUUUUUUGCCGCUUUUCUUUGAUUCACCCUUUUACUUUUUCAUUGCUUUUCUAGGGCAUACUCACUUUAUCUUGGUUAUCACUCUUUCUUGUGAUUUGGGCAUGUCCCCUAAUUAUUAAGUUUCUUGGGCUCUUUUGCCUUUUUGGCUUUCUCACGGUUUUUUCAUCUUUUCUCAUCGAAAGUUUCACUUGCCCCCAGUGUGGGGUGUGAUCCUAGUCGAGAUUUUUCAUGAAAGAAACAUUAUUUAGGCUCAAAAUAGGACCGCAAGGGAUAUACUUUUUAGAGUGUGAAAGGAAUAACAAAGAUAGUCUUUCCUCAUUUCAAACACAAGCAGUUAAGAUCAAUAAACUUUGACCUCGUCCAAUGUGAUGGUUUGGUCUUUGCAAAGAGAUGCAUUUCGUGAGUCUAUGAGCAAUGAGUUCACUACAUACCAUUAUUCAUAUAUUUAAAACAACAUGUCUCAAGAGUCAUGGUGUGAGGAUGACAGUUCAUUUUCUAUUCGUGCAUUUUGGUUCAGAGUUUAGUCACCUCAAUGAAAGAGUUGCUUGAUUCAUGUAUCAUUCUACAAGUACAAUGUCAUAAAUAUUGUUUUAAAUAAACACCAAAUUAUUUUUGAAAUCAAAAUACAAGUUCAGUUUUUCAAAACUCCAAUAGGGAAACUGAUUUUGGUAAAAGAGAUGAAUUGCGUCUAUAAGGUCACACUAGGCUUCAAAAGUGUAUUUGUGAGUUCUUAGAGGGAACCCCUUUCAGGAUAUUUUGGUUGUAAAUCAAAGGAAGAGACACAAUUGAACAACAAAAAACAAGACCUUAUACUAGCAAGGUGACACAUAAAAGGGUUGAACAUUUAGUGUAAAUCCCGAGAAAAACCAAGGGUGGAUUAAAUUAAAGAAAAUAAACUAAACUAAAAAGAAGUGGGGGCAAGAACGAAUACACUUAAAGAAAAUGGGGCCUAAAUGCAAAUAAGAAUAAUUAUAGAGCAUAAAUACUCCUAUUCUCACCAAAACCAGAUCUGCAGCUACGUAAAGAAAAAAAAAAAGAGGGAGUUUUUAUAUCUAUUUUUUUUACAAAUCAAGAGAGAAACACCAAAAUUUCAAGAACCCAUCCCAGAUUGAGGGUUAUAGGUAAAAUAAACCUUGGUGGGAAAGGGAUUAACAAGAAAAAAAUUGAACAAGAAGAGAAGAGGGGAGGGUCGGCUGUGAUUAGAAACAAAAGGAGGGAUCAAAGCCUUGAUUCGCACCAGGUAAGAUAUUAUAAACCUGGUCUUAUGAUUCAUUUCAAGUCGAUUAUGAAUUGAUGCCUGGAUGUAAAUUUAUAUAUUGAGUUCUUAGACUUGAAUUGAGGCAAAAAAAAAAGGUAAGAGUUGUUAAAGUAAAGAACUUCGUGUGUUGUGUGUAAAUGGAAAGGUGAUGAAUCUGGACAGUUUCGUCUCUUGACCUUCAAAGAGAUUUUGGGUAGGAGAAUGAAGGAAUUAGGAUCAAGUUCCUUCAUAGAAAUUGUAGUUUUGGAUGUUUACUAACUAAUGAAAUUGGUCUUGCUCAAUUUGGAGUCAUAGAACUCCAGUUAUGGGUCACCAACCGAGACUGGGUCAUGACAGACCCUAUAGGGUAGUAGGUAUGGUUCAUUGAUGAGCAAUUUUGACUGUCUUAGAGGCAGAACUGGGUUCUCCUCAAAACAUAGAACUUGUAGCCUCAUGUAUUACCUUUCCAACGCCACACAUUUCACUUGAAUCGGAGUUCUAUAACUCCAGAUAUAGUUAAAAAUCUAAGGAGAGGUCAGACAGUAACAGUUCAAAAACGAGACAGUAACAGUUCGAUGUCUAGACAGUAACAGUUGGACAGUAACAGUUCAAUGUCUAGACAGUAACAGUUCAAAAACAAGACAGUAACAGUUCAAUGUCUAGGCAGUAACAGUUCAAUGUCUAGACAGUAACGGUUCAAAAAUAAGACAGUAACAAUUCAAAAAUGGACAGUAACAGUUGGACAGUAACAGUCCAAGUGUUUGUUAAUGAGCGUUUUUGACUAUCUUAGAGGCAAAACUGGGUUCUUCUCAAAACAUAGAACUUGUAGCCUCAUGUCUUACCUUUCCAACGCCAUAAAUUUUGCUUGAAUCAGAGUUCUAUAACUCCAGAUAUAGUUAAAAAUCUGAGGAGAGGUCAGACAGUAACAGUUCAAAAACGAGACAGUAACAGUUGGACAGUGAUAGUCCAAAUAUAAAGAAAUGAAUGAUAACUAGGAUUGGACAAAGAACGACAAUAAUAACGAGUGAAAUGAGAAAAACAUAAAGUACUAAGAAAUGACUGAAAGAAAGACUUAUUGGUUGUUGAUAUGGUUAUUAUAAAACAUAUCCUUGGGUGAGGAAAAUUUAUCAGAUAAACCUGUGAUUUGCAGGAGGGACCACAGAAGUGGUGCAACAGCAGCAGCAGGGGAGCACAAGUAGAGCUUCUAUUGCAGGUAGGUGAUUCACACCUAUGCUUUCUAGUUAAAUUCCAUGAUUUAAUAUAUUUUUGAUGUGAAAUGUGAAUUACAGAAUGUAUGUGUAUUCAAGGUGAAAAGUUGUUAUGUGAAUUGCCAAGUGAUGAAAUUAUCACUGACAAAGGAAAUAUGAGAAGUGUGAUUUGAGGCAUAAACUAGCAUACAUUGAGUGUAUGUUAGGAUCCCGGGUAAGGGGAUCACCAUGUAUUGUCUAGCAUACAUUGAGUGUAUGUUAGGAUCCCGGGUAAGGGGAUCACCCUGUAUUGGCUAGCAUACAUUUAGUGUAUGUUAGGAUCCCGGGUAAGGGGAUCGUCACGAAUGGACUAGCAUACAUUUAGUGUAUGUUAGGAUCCCGGGUAAGGGGAUCACCCUGUAUUGGCUAGCAUACAUUUAGUGUAUGUUAGGAUCCCGGGUAAGGGGAUCGUCACGAAUGGACUAGCAUACAUUCAGUGUAUGUUAGGAUCCCGGGUAAGGGGAUCUCCACGUAUUGGCUAACAUACAUUCAGUGUAUGUUAGGAUCCCGGGUAAGGGGAUCACCAUGUAUUGGCCAGCAUACAUUUAGUGUAUGUUAGGAUCCCGGGUAAAGGGAUUGUCUUAUAUUGACUCCUCUGGGGUGGUGAUGACGAUACAAGUGAAAUUGGUAUCGGUAAUGUGAUAAGCAAAAGUAAUCACGUUAAUCUUAUAAGGUCUGGAAUGAAGGUUGAUAGUGGCAGAGGGAACGGUUAUUAAUAGUUUGAAUAAGGAAGAGAUUUUAAUAAUAAUAAAAAAAACUAGAAGGGAGAAGUAAAUGAAAUAUGAAUGCAUGUUACCCUGUUGAAAUUAUUAGAUAUUCAUAUUGUGAUAUUUAUUGUGAUAUUCACCUUGCAAUAAUAUGUAUUUUGUUUCAGGAUCAUCGCAUGCACGACAGGAGUAGAUCCUAGCUUAUGUUCCCUUUUUGAAAUCUAGGUUCUAGAGAGUAUACCCUUGUAUUUUGUAAACAUGAAAAUGUUGUAUAACUUAAUUUGUAUAAUAAAUGUUUAAACUUGAUUGGAUGAAUUUAACGCUGUAGUUUAUAUAACCAUAUUUCAUGUCUAUGUAUCUAUAUUUAUUUAAAUUAUCCAUCCAUAAUGAUAUUUUUGUUAUAUAAUGCAUAUCAUAAAUAUUAUGGUUGAUAGGUGUGAGUAUAAUUGUGGAAUUGAAACCCAGGAUGAUUGGGUCGGGAAUUAAGUUAUGAGAUGCGAACUGUUAGAAGUGUAAACAGGUUACAUGUCGAUAACUUGGGACCUUCCGGUAUAGGGGGGAGUCCGUCGAAAUUCCGGUAGAUGUUAAUACGAAGACCAUGAAUACGUAUAUAUAUAAAAAAAUUAACUACUCUGUUUUUCUAUUGACAUGAGAUUGUUGUUUUAUCCCAGAAAUGGGGGAUGUUACAUUUGGUAUCAAAGCUCAGGUUGCUAUUCCGGGGAUAGGAAUGAUUAUAUGGUUUUGGAAUGUGUUUCAGGAUGGUGAGAACAAGGCAAGGAGCCAGGACUGAUCCAUCCCCAGUUCGGGGAAGUGGCCAGAGUAUUCGUAUUGAAAGUGAUCCAUACUGGGAUCCCUUGGCAAACACCUCCUCUCAUAUACCUGCAGCAUCAAUGUACUCAGAAGGGGACGAGUCAGUGAGACUUCGAGAUGAUUCAUCAUUCCGUCAGGCAGAUGUAUCCAUGCCCGAGGGAUCAGACAGACAGGGGGGAGAUAAUAUACCUCCACCAGUGGCACCGGUAGCUGAAUCAAACCUAUUUUCGGAUCGUGCUUUUAUGGAACAUAUAGUGAGAGCUAUGGCAGCAGGAAUGGUAGCGGGGGCCUCCAAUACGACUCCUAGAUCAGGGGGAAUAGUCACCAUAGUGCAAUGGGUGAAGGGUAUGAGAGAGAUGGGUUGUAUGACUUACCGGGGCGAAGAGGAUGCUGAGGUUGCUGGGCAUUGGCUGAGGAAAGUGGAAAGAGUUAUAAAUCAGAUGCAAGUGCCAGAGGAGCUACGGGUGGAUUGUGUGACUCAGCUAUUGGUUGAAAGUGCCCACUCUUGGUGGGAGACCAUUAGAGAAGAAGAUCAGGGGAGGUAUUGAGAUGGAGGGAUUUUCGUGAAGAGUUUGAGGAGAGGUACUAUUCUUGGGAGCAUAAGAGGGAGAAAGAACAGGAGUUUUUGGAAUUGAAGCAGGGAGAUUUGACAGUGUUGGAGUAUGAGAGGAUAUUUCAGGAUUUAGCAGCUUUUGCCUCCACUUACCUUCCCACAGAGCGCCACAGGGUGGAGAGGUUCCGUGAUGGACUGAGGCGGGAAUUGAGGAUGAUAUUGAUAACCAUGCAAUUUCAGUCGGUACGGGAAUUGGUACGUGUUGCUCAGGGUAUGGAGAGGGUAAUAAAGGAUACCCCGAAGCCAGUGGUCGAGCAGAGUCAGACAAUGGGAGCUAAGAGGAGAGAUUUUGAGUUUAUAACUGGGAGACCUCCUCUCCCAAAGAAGGGGAAGAGCGGGCCAUCAUCAGGACAGUUCCAGAGAAGGGGUGGGAGUUUCACCCCAGGAGGGAGCUCAGGAGGAUCUAGACAAGUCAGUGGAAGAGGAGCUUGGGGAGGACAGUCUAGACAGGGAGUCAAAACUGCUGGAGGGUCUACAGAGCAAAAGGGACCAGUAUAUCCGUUUUGUCAGAGGUGUGAGCAGCGACACCCGGGAGAUUUCUCUACGAUGCCGGGGAGAUGUUAUAUUUGUAGAAGUGAGGGGCAUCGAUGGAAAGAGUGUCCGCAUGUAGGAAGAGGUUGUUACUAUUGUGGGGACACGAGUCACCGGAAGAAGGAUUGUCCUCGUAGAACUACCGAGGGAGCCUAUGGUCAGAGGAUUGAGGUUCAGAGCCAACAGCAAUCGGUGACAGUCAAUCGUCCUAUCAGGCCUACCUAGUCAGGGACGAGUGCUACUCGUGGGAGGCCCAGAAAUCAGGAGGGGAGGACUCAGGGUCGGGUAUAUCACAUGAACUACGAGGAUGUAGGAGCUGUACCUGAUGUGGUGGCAGGUACUUUACAGUUAGAUACAAUGCAAGUUUAUGCUUUAAUUGAUCCUGGAGCUAGUCAUUCCUUUGUAUCUUAUAGAAUUGUGAAUAACUUGCAUGUGUUAUCUAGUAACUUGGGUGUAGGGGUGACAGUUAGUACACCUUUGGGGGAGAAUAUACAUAUUGAUGAUAUUUAUAGAGGGGUAAAACUAUAUAUUGGAGGAUUAGAGUUGAGGGCAGAUCUUAUGCCGUUGGACUUAUAUGAUUUUGAUGUGAUUCUGGGCAUGGAUUGGUUAAGUAAACAUAAGGCACAAGUGGAUUGUUUCACCAAGACGGUGACAAUCCAAGGAAUAGGUGAUAAAAGAGUAGUGUUUAAAGGGGAAAGAAAAGUAAUUCCAAGUUGUGUAAUCUCAGUCUUGGUGGCUAGAAAAUUACUGAGGAAAGGUUGUUCUGCUUGGUUAGCCCAUGUAAGAGAGCUGGAGAAGGGUAGCAUAGAUUUGGCUAGUAUUCCUGUUGUGAGGGAGUUUCAAGAUGUAUUCCCAGAAGAGUUGCCUGGAUUACCUCCAGUUAGAGAAAUUGAAGUUUCCAUAGAAACUAUUCCAGGAGUUUCUCCUAUAGCCCAGUCUCCUUAUAGGAUGGCACCUAUGGAAUUGGCGAAACUGAAGGUCCAGCUUCAGUAAUUGUUAAAUAAAGGCUUCAUCCGGCCUAGUAACUCACCCUGGGGAGCUCCGGUAUUGUUUGUAAAGAAGAAGGAUGGCACCCUUCGUUUGUGUAUUGAUUAUCGUCAAUUGAAUAAAGUGACGGUGAAGAACAGGUACCCACUCCCACGAAUAGAUGACUUGUUUGAUCAGUUGAAGGGUGCUAGGGUAUUUUCUAAGAUAGAUCUGAGAUCUGGAUAUCACCAGUUGAGAAUCAAGGAACAAGACAUACAAAAGACUGCCUUUCGAACCCGUUAUGGGCAUUACGAGUUUUCGGUGAUGCCUUUUGGGUUAACCAAUGCUCCGGCCAUGUUUAUGGACUUGAUGAAUCGGGUGUUUCGGCCUUACCUGGACCAAUAUGUGGUUGUAUUUAUUGAUGAUAUUUUGGUGUAUUCAAACUCUCACUUGGAGCAUGAACAACAUCUAAGGGUUUUGCUACAGACUUUAAGGGAAAAUCAAUUAUAUGCAAAGCUAGAUAAGUGUGAGUUCUAGCUCAAGGAAGUGGUAUUUUUGGGCCAUGUAAUAUCCGCAGAAGGAAUAUUUGUAGAUCCAAGAAAGGUUGAGGCCGUGUUAAAAUAGGAAAGGCCUACCAAUGUGACAGAAAUCCGGAGUUUCUUGGGUCUUGCUGGAUAUUACCGAAGGUUUAUUGAAGGAUUCUCCACCAUAGCAUCACCUUUAACUAAGCUGGCCCACAAGGAAGUUCGGUUUGUUUGGUCGGAAGAGUGUGAAGCAAGCUUUCAAGAACUGAAGGAGAGGCUCACUUCUGCUCCUGUAUUGGCCCUUCCAUCAGGGACAGAAGGGUUUGUGGUAUAUAGUGAUGCCUCAAAAAGGGGUCUGGGAUGUGUAUUGAUGCAAAAUGGGCGUGUGAUUGCUUAAGCAUCAAGACAGUUAAAGUCGCAUGAGGUGAAUUACCCGGUUCAUGACCUAGAACUUGCAGCGAUGGUGUUUGCCUUAAGAGUAUGGAGACAUUAUUUAUAUGGGACACAAGUUCAAAUCUUUACAGUCCAUAAAAGUUUGAAGUAUUUGAUGUCACAGAAGGAGUUAAACAUGCGGCAGAGAAGAUGGGUAGAGUUAAUAAAAGAUUACGAUUGUGUUAUUGACUACCAUCCUGGUAAGGCUAAUGUAGUAGCCGAAGCCUUGAGUAGGAAGGGAAAAACAGUGAUGAAUGAUAUGGAGCUUAAGGAACAAGAAAGUAUAGUGGAAUUAAAGAAAAUGGGCUUGCGGCUAAGUGUAGGGCCAGAAGGAUCACUGUUAGCUCAGUUAAAGAUCCGAUCUGUGCUUCGAGACAAGGUCUUGGUGACUCAACAAGCAGAUGGGAAAGUAAAAGAGAUCAAGGAGAGGGUAAACAAGGGUAUAGAGACAUCAUUUCAAAUGUUAUUCGAUGGGCUAAUAGCUAUGGGUAGGCGAAUUUAUUUGCCUGAGGAUAAGAUUUUGAAAGACGAAGUAUUAAGAGAAGCUCAUGAAUCUCGAUUUGCUACUCAUCCUGGGAGUACAAAGAUGUAUAGGGAUUUAAAGGAAAACUACUGGUGGCCAAAUAUGAAGAGGGAAAUAGCAGAAUUUGUGUCGAAUUGUGGGAUCUGUCAACAAGUAAAGAUAGAACACCAGAAACCUGCAGGGGAAUUACAGUCAUUAUCAAUUCCGGAAUGGAAAUGGGAGGAUAUUUCUAUGGAUUUUGUGACGGGAUUACCCAGGGGAAAGAAGGGGAAUGAUGCCAUAUGGGUGGUCGUGGAUCGACUGACAAAAUCUGCUUUGUUUUUGCCAAUGAAGAUGACUGAUUCGGUGGACAAGCUGGCAAAAUUGUAUGUAAAUGAAGUAAUCAGACUUCACGGAGUGCCGGUUUCGAUUAUAUCGGAUCGGGAUCCAAGGUUCACAUCAAGAUUGUGGCCUAGCUUACAACGGGCAAUGGGGACAAAGUUGAAUCUGAGCACGACAUUUCAUCCUCAGACGGAUGGUCAAUCUGAAAGGACCAUCCAAACUCUUGAGGAUCUCUUGAGGUCCUGUGUGCUGGAGUUUAGAGGGAAUUGGGAGGAUCUCCUGCCAUUGGUGGAGUUUACUUAUAAUAAUAGCCAUCAAACUACCAUUGGUAUGGCUCCAUAUGAAGCAUUGUAUGGGAGGAAAUGUCGUACCCCAAUUUGUUGGGAGGAAGUAGGAGAAAGGAAGCUUUUGGGACCUGAGAUGGUACAACUGACAACUGACAAGGUGAGGGUGAUCAAAAAGAGAAUGAAGGAAGCCCAGGAUAGACAAAAAAGUUACACAGAUCGCCGAAGAAGGCCAUUGGAAUUCCAAGUAGGGGAUAAAGUAUUUUUGAAGGUGGCUCCUUGGAAAGGCAUCAUUCGAUUUGGAGUAAAAGGGAAAUUAACCCCGAGAUAUAUUGGCCCUUUUGAGAUUAAAGAAAGAAUCGGGCCAGUUGCAUAUCGAUUAGAAUUGCCUAUAUAUUUGGAUAAGAUUCACAAUGUGUUCCAUGUAUCAUUGUUGCGAAAGGCCAAGAUAGACCCCUCACGCGUAUUGCCACAAGUUCCUAUGAAGAUAAAAGGGGAUCUAACCAUGAAAACUAAGCCCGUCAAGAUCCUAGAUCGAGAUGAGAAAUUGUUGAGGAAUAAAAGAGUUCCCUUGGUGAGAGUAUUGUGGAGAAGCUCUCGAAUAGAAGAGGAAACAUGGGAAAGAGAAUCCGAAAUGAAGGAAAAGUUUCCGCACUUAUUCUCCGACAUAGGUACGUAACUUGAAUUUCGAGGACGAAAUUUUUAUUAGGAGGGGAGAUUGUAAAUCCCGAGAAAAACCAAGGCUGGAUUAAAUUAAAGAAAAUAAACUAAACUAUAAAGAAGUGGGGGUAAGAACGAAUGCACUUAAAGAAAAUGGGGCCUAAAUGCAAAUAAGAAUAAUUAUAGAGCAUAAAUACUCCUAUUCUCACCAAAAACAGAUCUGCAGCUACGUAAAGAAAAAAAAAGAGGGAGUUUUUAUAUCUAUUUUUUUUUACAAAUCAAGAGAGAAACACCAAAAUUUCAAGAACCCAUCCCAGAUUGAGGGUUAUAGGUAAAAUAACCCUGGUGGGAAAGGGAUUAACAAGAAAAAAAUUGAACAAGAAGAGAAGAGGGGAGGGUCGGCUGUCAUUAGAAAGAAAAGGAGGGAUCAAAGCCUUGAUUCGCACCAGGUAAGAUAUUAUAAACCUGGUCUUAUGAGUCAUUUCAAGUCGAUUAUGAAUUGAUGCCUGGAUGUAAAUUUAUAUAUUGAGUUCUUAGACUUGAAUUGAGGGAGAAAAAAAAGGUAAGAGUUGUUAAAGUAAAGAACUUCGUGUCUUGUGUGUAAAUGGAAAGGUGAUGAAUCUGGACAGUUUUGUCUCUUGAUCUUCAAAGAGAUUUUGGGUAGGAGAAUGAAGGAAUUAGGAUCAAGUUCCUUCAUAGAAAUUGUAGUUUUGGAUGUUUACUAACUAAUGAAAUUGGUCUUGCUCAAUUUGGAGUCAUAGAACUCCAGUUAUGGGUCACCAACCGAGACUGGGUCAUGACAGACCCUAUAGGGUAGUAGGUAUGGUUCAUUGAUGAGCAAUUUUGACUGUCUUAGAGGCAGAACUGGGUUCUCCUCAAAACAUAGAACUUGUAGCCUCAUGUCUUACCUUUCCAACGCCAUAAAUUUUGCUUGAAUCAGAGUUCUAUAACUCUAGAUAUAGUUAAAAAUCUAAGGAGAGGUCAGACAGUAACAGUUCAAAAACAAGACAGUAACAGUUCGAUGUCUAGACAGUAACAGUUGGACAAUAACAGUUCAAUGUCUAGACAGUAACGGUUCAAAAACAAGACAGUAACAGUUCAAUGUCUAGGCAGUAAUAGUUCAAUGUCUAGACAGUAACGGUUCAAAAAUAAGACAGUAACAAUUCAAAAAUGGACAGUAACAGUUGGACAGUAACAGUCCAAGUGUUUGUUAAUGAGCGUUUUUGACUAUCUUAGAGGCAGAACUGGGUUCUUCCCAAAACAUAGAACUUGUAGCCUCAUGUCUUACCUUUCCAACGCCAUAAAUUUCUCUUGAAUCGGAGUUCUAUAACUCCAGAUAUAGUUAAAAAUCUGAGGAGAAGUCAGACAGUAACAGUUCAAAAAUGGACAGUAACAGUCCAAGUGUUUGUUAAUGAGCGAUUUUGACUAUCUUAGAGGCAAAACUGGGUUCUUCUCAAAACAUAGAACUUGUAGCCUCAUGUCUUACCUUUCCAACGCCAUAAAUGUUGCUUGAAUCGGAGUUCUAUAACUCCAGAUAUAGUUAAAAAUCUGAGGAGAGGUCAGACAGUAACAGUUCAAAAACGAGACAGUAACAGUUGGACAAUGAUAGUCCAAAUAUAAAGAAAUGAAUGAUAACUAGGAUUGGACAAAGAACGACAGUAAUAACGAGUGAAAUGAGAAAAACAUAAAGUACUAAGAAAUGACUGAAAGAAAGACUUAUUGGUUGUUGAUAUGGUUAUUAUAAAACAUAUCCUUGGGUGAGGAAAAUUUAUCAGAUAAACCUGUGAUUUGCAGGAGGGACCACAGACGUGGUGCAACAGCAGCAGCAGGGGAGCACGAGUAGAGCUUCUAUUGCAGGUAGGUGAUUCACACCUAUGCUUUCUAGUUAAAUUCCAUGAUUUAAUAUAUUUUUGAUGUGAAAUGUGAAUUACAGAAUGUAUGUGUAUUCAAGGUGAAAAGUUGUUAUGUGAAUUGCCAAGUGAUGAAAUUAUCACUGACAAAGGAAAUAUGAGAAGUGUGAUUUGAGGCAUAAACUAGCAUACAUUGAGUGUAUGUUAGGAUCCCGGGUAAGGGGAUCACCAUGUAUUGUCUAGCAUACAUUUAGUGUAUGUUAGGAUCCCGGGUAAGGGGAUCACCCUAUAUUGGCUAGCAUACAUUUAGUGUAUGUUAGGAUCCCGGGUAAGGGGAUCGUCAUGAAUGGACUAGCAUACAUUCAGUGUAUGUUAGGAUCCCAGGUAAGGGGAUCUCCAUGUAUUGGCUAACAUACAUUCAGUGUAUGUUAGGAUCCCGGGUAAGGGGAUUACCAUGUAUUGGCCAGCAUAUAUUUAGUGUAUGUUAGGAUCCCGGGUAAAGGGAUUGUCUUAUAUCGACUCCUAUGGGGUGGUGAUGACGAUACCAGUGAAAUUGGUAUCGGUAAUGUGAUAAGCAAAAGUAAUCACGUUAAUCUUAUAAGGUCUGGAAUGAAGGUUGAUAGUGGCAGAGGGAACGGUUAUUAAUAGUUUGAAUAAGGAAGAGAUUUUAAUAAUAAAAAAAAAACUAGAAGGGAGAAGUAAAUGAAAUAUGAAUGCAUGUUACCCUGUUGAAAUUAUUAGAUAUUCAUAUUGUUAUAUUUAUUGUGAUAUUCACCUUACAAUAAUAUGUAUUUUGUUUCAGGAUCAUCGCAUGCACGACAGGAGUAGAUCCUAGCUUAUGUUCCCUUUUUGAAAUCUAGAUUCUAGGGAGUAUACCCUUGUAUUUUGUAAACAUGAAAAUGUUGUAUAACUUAAUUUGUAUAAUAAAUGUUUAAAUUGAUUGGAUGAAUUUAACGCUGUAGUUUAUAUAACCAUAUUUCAUGUCUAUGUAUCUAUAUUUAUUUAAAUUAUCCAUCCAUAAUGAUAUUUUUGUUAUAUAAUGCAUAUCAUAAAUAUUAUGGUUGAUAGGUGUGAGUAUAAUUGUGGAAUUGAAACCCAGGAUGAUUGGGUCGGGAAUUAAGUUAUGAGAUGCGAACUGUUAGAAGUGUAAACAGGUUACAUGUCGGUAACUUGGGACCUUCCGGUAUAGGGGGGACUCCGUCGAAAUUCCGGUAGAUGUUAAUACGAAGACCAUGAAUACGUAUAUACAAAAAAAAAAUUAACUACUCUGUUUUUCUAUUGACAUGAGAUUGUUGUUUUAUCCCAGAAAUGGGGGAUGUUACAUUUAGUAAUCAUCGAUUGGAAUUUUUAGAAUCUUCCAACCAUCCCUCUCCUUUUAAUUCCUUGAUAGGGGAACCUUUCCAAUAGUCAGUUAAGGUCAUACAUAGACCAGUCUUAGUUAGUGACACUGUAGCUUCGUCUUCAGGACGAGUGACCUUUAAAUGUCUUUGUUUUGGUAGCUCUUUCUCUCGUUUUUGUAACCACCUCUCACAUUGUGAACCUCGGUUUGUUUCUUUUCCCUAGUGAAACAUUUUCUUCUCAGUCGAGUCAGCAACCCUUCCUAAAUGGAUAGCUUUUUCGAUCUUCUCAGCUAUAGCGACCAGGUUAGAAAAAUAUUGUGCAGAGCUUCCAACCAUGUAUUCAAAGUACGGGGCCUUGAAAGUGUUGACAAACAAAUUAAUCAUCUCCUUUUCCAAUAAAGGAGGAUUAACUUGUGCGGCAGUCUCACGCCACCUUUGAGUGUAUUCUCUUAUGGACUCCUUGUUGUCCUUUUCCAUGGCUUGCAAGUUUGACCUAUCAUUUUCUUCCAUAUUGAACUUAUAUUGCCUAAUGAAGGCAUCAACUAAGUCCUUCCAGUUUUUUUCUUGGUAUUGUCCAACCAUAUAUACCAAGUAAGGGCAAUGUCACUCAAACUGUCUUGAAAGAAGUGAAUCAACAGUUUCUCGUCAUAGACCACCUUAACUAUUUUGUUGCAGUAUCCCUUGAGAUGAGUUACAGGGUAUUAAGUUCCUGUAUAUUUGACAAACUCCGACACCCUAAACUUCUUAGGAAUGACUAUGUUAGGUACCAAACACAUCUCAGCAACCUUUAUAUAGUCAUGUAGGCUAGAUCCCUCGAAUGCCAUCAGCCUUUGUUCCAGGGCAACCUAUUUGUUCAGGCCAUCUUCUUUUACCAUCUUGUUCUUUUGAGAUUCCUUCUUUGUAAGGUCAAUGGUAGAUGAUAUUCUUAUGGGAUAUACUGGUUGAGCAAAUUGGGAAUACAUAGCCUGUUGAGACACCUCAUUUGCCCCUAGAUUUUAUGGCUUUGCGAGCAUAGGUUCAGGCUGAGCUGUAAAUUUUACUUCUUCAGGUUUAGAUCUCAAGGCCUGUUCGAGUAGGCUAGUAAGCUUUGCGCUUCUUCUCUAAGACUUUCCAUCUCUUUUUGAUGUUGGGCUUCCAACUAGGAUUUUUUCUUCAUUUUUCAUUUGUCUUUUUUGUAGUCGAGUGUUAUAGUUAUGGGGGACCUAUAUUUCACCUGGUGUGCGGUAUUAUGACAGUUCAUAAUUGUAUGUUCAAACAUGCAUGAAGAUGAAUACAACAUAUUGGGUAUGGAUUCGCCUUUUGGGAGGGUGACAUAACGAUCACUAUUCUUUAAAUGUGUGGUCAGAUCCGAAUCCGAUAUUCAUUGCAAUGCCGAGAGCAGAUCUGUUUAGCGUUUUGUCAUAUGAGCUUUCAGCCACAUUCUUGGUGUCUUUCAUUAUGCAUCUAAUGUCUUUGAGUAGCGGUAUCUCACCGACAUCCAGUCUAAGGUAGUCUCCCUCGGUCAUUUGCAAGGAUUCAGACUCGAGUCCAUACUCAACAGUUGUUAUCUUAGGAAUAGCGGUCAUUAUGUCACCCGAAAGCCUUAUAAUAAGGAUGCUUACACAUUUAAGCUUAUCUUAGUGAAAUUACGCAGGGAUCAGGAAUAGCGGUCAUUAUGUCACCCGAAAGCCUUAUAAUAAGGAUGCUUACACAUUUAAGCUUAUCUUAGUGAAAUUACGCAGGGAUCAACCUAAAAGGUAGGUUCUAGUCAUUAAAUGCGUUAGGGUAAUUUUGUUAUCUAGUCUCAAAGGUCUUUCGCAUGCCCAGUGAUCGUCCUCGAAAGGUUGAUAUGAGGUUUUCAAGUAGCGUGAAGAUAGAGGCCCUGAGUAAUAUCAGUUCAGCAUAUCAACCAUUAUCAAGCAAACAAUCAUGCAAGAGUUGGAUAGUUUCGCGAGCCUUACCCAGGCUAAAGCCAUUGGGGUGCUGUUACUCCUCCACUUAUCUUAAAGUUGAUAUCAUGCGUAUUUUAAAAAUGAGAUGAGUGAUGUGUGAAGGCCUUAGAUCUAUAUCCAAUAUAUAUGCAUGAUAAAUAUGAAUAAUUAUGCAUGUUAAAAUAGUAAAAAGAUAAAAAAACAAAUAAAACUUGAUAAACUCAACAUAACCACAACAAGGAAAAAAAACGGUGCGACAAAUAUUGUUUAGCAAUAAAAAGACAAAUAGCAAAGCUUAGUCCUAAAGUCUCUAGUGGAGUCGCCAUUCUGUCACACCCGGACAUCGUGGCGACCGAUUAAAAAAUUAUCUCUCGAUUGGAACAAGAACAGAUAUCUGGCACUAUGGUCACUAGGAACCCUAGUAUUAUGGUCACAAGGAGUCGCCACCUAGUAUUAUGGUCACUAGGAACCCUAAUUGGUCAACAGAGAUUCUAUGCUACGGGACUAGUUAUAUAGAAAGGAAGAUGCUAUCAACCCCUAAGCGUCCUACCUGAGGUAGGCUGCAUUGCUAGUUUUGUCUAAAAAUGCUAAGAAUUUGUUCUCCUUUUUCCCUUUUUUUAUUCUUCCUUUCAUGUUCCUGACUCUGGCGUCAGUGAACAAUUCCUACGAAUAUUUCCAACUCUGGCGUUGGUAAAUAUCGCACAAAUCCAAAAAAUACGAUACUCUUGACUCUAGCGUCAGUGAAUAUUUUCGCAAAAAAUGAAUUUGAAGAAGAAAUUUUCUAUGUUAUUUUUUUCUUGAUUAUCCUUUAUUAUUAUUUGUCCUUUUUAGAUGGAAGUAAAAAAAACAUUGCACGACAUAUUUGCAUUUAACAGUAAAUGUCCACAUAUUGAGCACAUCUACAAAAGUUACAAACACAAAGAAAAAAAUAAAACAAAGUGUGAGGGGCCCACAAAUAAAUCAACGAAAGCCCCCAAAUAUUUUUGAAAUUUUCUGUUAUCGGAAAGGGGUUUGUUUGGUCAAAUAUCAAAUUAGAAUGGGCAUAAAAAUUAUGGCCAAGACAUAAGGGUGUGUUUUGCUAAGCACACCCUUAGCAAACACAAUUUGGGCCGGCUGCGCCUAAAGCCCAGACCCAGCCCACUCUUUUUUUUCUUUUUGGGCUGGAUCUAGCCCAGCCAUGUGGGCUGGGCUAGACCCAGCCAAACCAGCCUAGUUACUGGUUCAGACUAGUAACCCGGCCGGUAUAUUUUUUCUUUGCAAGUGUGCGCGAGCUACUCGCGUACACUUGCUACAGGAAGAGGGUAAUUAAAAGUGAAAACGAGGGGACGAAAUGACUUACCUAUUGUUGGACUGUUGUUGCCACCUUCUUGAGUGAAGAUUGAUACAUGCGCUCGUUGUUAGGAAAACUAGUAUUAUUCCUUCUGCAUUUGUUUUUCUCUUCCCUUUUGCAUACACUGAGGUCUAUAUUUAUAGUGUCAGAGUCGAUUCGCAUGUGAGAAACAAAGUUUCAAUCAAACUCAUUCUCUUUUUUGAAGUUUGAAUUUGAUUAAGAAUCAAAUUUGAAAGCGGAUAACUAUCAUUAUCUUGAAAACAAGGAUUAUCUUGAAGAUAAGGAUAGAAUGACAAAAGUACAUUGUAGUCCCUAGUUUUCACGCAAGUUGACAAAUCACAUUUUUCAUCGAAAUAAAUCUCUGAUCUUUUAAUUUUACAUUUUAAACCCUGUAAAAUUAAAUUAAUAAGCCAAUGGGCCAAAAUUGGGUUACAAUAGUUUUUAGAAAUAUUUUAAAUAUUUAUAUCCUUGUCAACUUAUCCUAUAAUACUAUUAAGAAAAAAAAAACUAAAAAUUUUAAAGUUAAUAAUUGAAAGAUUCUAUUAGUUAAAGAGAAAAACAAACAAACAAUAGAUAAAUCAAUUAAAUUAUUACAAUGUAUGAAUGCUUAAAUGACUAUUACAUAAACAUAAUAAAAGUACUUCAUAAUAUUAAAUAAUUUGUUAUAUACAAGUACUUCACUUAUUCAAGUAAAAGAAAAUAACACAAUCAUAUAACAUAACUACUAGUAGAUAUUCAAUCUCUCUCUCUCUCUCUCUCAUACACAUAACUCAAUGAGUACACAAUAAAUAAAAUGAUUAUUAAUUUUUUGAUGCAUAAAUGAAUGAUAAAGAUCUCAUAUUAAAAAAAAUGAUUUGCUUAUAUAUAAAAUGGAUCCCUAACCCACUAUACUAGGUUUUGGGUUAUAUGUAUUGUAUAUUCAUGUAUAUAAGCUCUCAAACAUGCAUAAUCAUGUGCGAGUCCAAAUGAUUUUUAAUGCAUCUCUCUCUAAUAAGUGGUAGUAAAGCCACUGGUUGGACUAGGUAUAAGUAGAUACGACAAGUGUUUGCAUAGCCAAUUACAUAAUAUUGGCUAGGAUAAUCAUAAAGAUGAUGUGAAUUGACUUUCAUAGUUGAUGUGUACAAGAUAAAAUGAAGAGCUAAUUGAACUCUCAUGAUUAUUGUCUACCAUAUAAAAUGAAGAGCUAGUUGGACUCUUGGAUGGAAGAUUGGUAUAGAGUGUAACACAUAACUCCUAAUUUAGAAGAGAAGAGGAGAAGUGAAUUCUUAGAUGAACAAGCUCUUGUAAAAGCAGAAAGCUCUUAAUGGUACUAUAUUAUUUAGGUGGUGAUUAUCAUAACUCAAUUCUAGGUUAUUCCCUAAAAUUCACUUUUUUAAUAUAAAAAUAAAAAAAAAUAAAAUAAAGGCUGGCAACGUGGAAAAAACAAGUCGGGGAAUACAACUGCAAUUUUGAAAGAAAUUCAAGGCCUAAUUGUACCCUAUUAUGCCAAAAAAUAGAGAAACAAUGCAAAUUCAAAGUCAAAUUAAAUGAUUAUUGGAUGAAUUUGCAUAAAAAUUAAGUUCAAGGACAUAAUUAAAUUUUUAAUAGGCCAAUUUGAUUAUGGGCCAAAUUGAAUUUUAUUUAUGUUUAAGAAUUAAUUUGGGUCCAAUUGAAGGAUCUAAUUAAGUGCAAGGACUUAAUUAUACUUUAAACGGGUCAAAUUAAUUUUAUUUGGGGCUUACUUGGUAAAAAAAUUAAGUUUUGGGGCCCAAUUUGGGCUUAAUUGAGAAGAUUGAAAUUUUAAGAGACCAAAGUUAAUUUUUACCAAGUUAAUUGAUUGAAAUCAGGGGCAAAAUCACAAGAAAAUUGAAGUUUUGGGGUCUAUUAAAGGUCAAAUUGAAGAAAUUCACAGUCAAUGACCAAUCUGUAAAAAGCGUCACAUUUUGAGGGUUUAAUUGAAAAAAACCGUGGGUGAAAUUGAAAGUUUAAUGGUCAAUUAGGGGUUAAAUUGCAUAAAUCCGAGAUCAAGGACCAAAGUGCAAAAGACACGUAAAUCCGGGGUUCAGAUACAAGUUCGGUAGGGGCUACAUUGCACUAAAUAAAAAAUAUAUGGUCAAUUAGGGGUAGAAUUAAAUCAAAUUUAAAGGUGGAGGACUGAAUUGAACUUUGGUCAAAAACACAAUUCUAGUACUGUUCAUUAUCUUCUUUAUUAUUUUGCUGAAAAAGCUACUUAGGUGAUACUUUGCAUGUGCAUUUAAUGACUCAUAUGUCCAUCAAAAUUGACAACACAUGAACCAAAAUGGUCACCUGACAUCCCUCUAUCCCCGAGUAUGGUUCUUUCAGACCUAUUAACAUCACGGUGGCCCUAGCAUCGGCCUAAAGAGGCCAAGUCAGGCAGCCUUAAACUAUCAGAUUUGACAGUUCAUGGUGCCUACUUUGAACCAACAGUUAGGAUCCUUACCAACCGAAUCAAGGGUUGAAAUGUUUUUCCUGUGUAGAAAAGAUUACCCUCUUCCACCUCCUAUAAAUAGGGGUGGAUUUCAUGGCCUAAGCUGGAAGAAAAUUGGGUCCAAAGUCGACCAAAAACCAGCCUUCCUCCCCAGAAUUUUUCCUUUUCUGUCGUCUGUCUCUUCACUCUCUCUCUCUCUACACCGUGAUCUCAGCCACGCCACCUCAGCACCACUAUGAUCAGGAGCGGCCCGACCUUCUCCUCCAACCCAUCCCACCGUAGUGAACAACAACGACAUUGUUCCCCCUCUCUCUUCAAAAGUUUUUGUUUCUUCUCUCUCCUUCACCCCACAACUAGCGCCGACCACUCACCCCAAAAACAAUGCCUCCUCAACCACCAGUCAGACCCUCUCUUCGCAGUCAAAGCUUCCACACCGGGUAUGAUAGGUCCCAAUCAGGCUAUGAAUAUUACAGUGUAGAUAGUAUUCUACUUAGGGUGAGAAUUAACCGCAAGAGUUUUAUUUGGAAAAUAAGCUUCCCUUUACUGCUUUUGAAAGGGUUUAAAUACAAGAAAGAAAAUAACAACCACUCCUAAUUCUGAGAUCAUAUCUCUAAGAAUUAGGACACUAUCACAUUAUUGAAAAUCAAAUAAUAACUACUAGACCUAUUCCUAAGCAAGCAUGCUUUGUGGACACGACCAACAAUUUAGACCAAAUCUUUGGUGAACAGAACUUCUCCCUGCAUGUUUCCUGCACAUGGAAGUUGCAUUUACGUGGCAGCUUUUAGUCCCAAUAUCUUUGGCAAACAGAACCUUCUCCCUGCAUGUUUCCUGCAUAUGGAAAUUGCAUUUACGUGACAGCUCUUAGUCCAAAUACUUUGGGUUUUUCAUGGCCACUCUUACAGAUCUUCUUAGUUUAUCAAUACUCCCCUCUGUGACACAAACCUUGUCCUCAAGGUUUAAAUUGAUGAACUUGUCCCGUAAGUCUUGAGUGUUUUCCCAUGUAGCAUCAUCAAGUGGAAGUCGUUUUCAUUGGACUAAACUUGCCUCAAUAAAUUUGGAUCCUCAUUUUACCCAACGGGUAUCUAAUACACACUCUGGCUCCAUAAGCAAUUCCCCAUCAUCUGCCACCGGAGGUAAGUCAGUAUGAGCAGUAAUUUGUUCUCAUAUCUUCUUUUUUUAAAGAGACACAUGGAAGACUGGGUUUCCAAUUUUUUAAAAGAGACACACUGGAGGUGAAUGCGAGAGUUGUGGGGAAGCUCGAGUUUGUAAACAACGUUUCCAAAAAAAUUUUCAACUGGAUAUGGCCCAUAGAAUCUGCUUGCAAGCUUUUGAUAGGCUCUUUUGAAUACAGAUUGCUGGCGGUAGGGAUGUAGCUUCAAUAAUACCAAAUCACCGACCUGGAAUUCAAUGUCUCGGCGUUUGGAAUCGGCCUGUUGCUUCAUUCAAUUAUUCGCUGCGAGUAAAUUGCUCUUAAGCUAUUGUAGCAGAGCAUCUCUAGAAGCCAAGUUUUUGUCAACUUCAUGAACUGGACAGAAACCUUCAUGGUAUUGAGGUAUUGUGGGUGGCGGCCUUCCAUAGAGAGCUUGGAAGGGAGUCAUUCCUGUAGAGGCAUGAUAGGUAGUAUUAUACCAAAACUUAGCCCAUCAAAGAAAGGAAUGCCACUUACAGUGUUGCUGGUAUGCAAAGCAGCGAAGAUAUUGCUCAAUGCAACAGUUGAAGACUUCUAUUUGCCCAUCGGUUUGCGGAUGGUAAGCGGACCUCAUCUUCAAUUGUGUGCCAGAAAUUUUGAAGAAUUCUCGCCAAAAAUGACUGAUAAACACUGGAUCCCGAUCGCUUAUAAUAGACUGAGGCAUGCCAUGAAGUUUGACUAUGCCAUCAAUGAAUGUUUCAGCCACCAGUUUGGCUGUAUACGGGUGUGAAAGGGCCAAGAAAUGCGCCGAUUAACUCAACUUGUCCACAAUAACAAGAAUUGAAGUUUUUCCAGAUGAAGGGGGAAGACCAUCAAUGAAAUCCAUGGUGAUGUCAUCCCAAACUUGACAUGGGAUUGGAAGAGGCUGCAAAAGUCCUGCUGGCGACAGAGUGUCAUUUUUAGUACGUUGGCAGACUUCACAUGAGGCCACGUAAGUCUUCACCAUGUGGAACAUGGACGACCAGUAGAAUUGUUAUGCUAGUCUUUUGUAUGUACGUAAGACACUUGAAUGUCCACCACUGGAGAAUCAUGGAAUUCAUGUAGAAGUUGUGCAAUUAUGUUGGAGUAAGGAGGCACCACCACACGAUUCUUGUAGCAAACCAACCCAUUACGCUAGCUGUAAGGAACACCAGGAUUUGCAGUUGCUUUGUCGCUGAUUAUAAUCAUGUAGGGAUUGGUGCGUGCUUCUGUUUUGAUUGUAUCCCAUAACGAAGUGUGAGAACCAAACAAAGUAUUCAAACUAAAACUACCCAUUACCCGUGACAGGGCAUCAGCUGCAUUGUUAUCACGACCUGGUUUAUAGGUGAUCUCAUAAUCAUAGCCAAGCAGUUUUGUCACCCAUUUUUGUUGCUCAAGUGUUACUAUGCGUUGUUCCAACAAGAAUUUGAGGUUGCGCUGGUCAGUUUGGAUGUAGAACUUCCUUCCCAGUAAAAAUGGUCUCCACGUUUGAAUUGCAUGAAUGAUGGCUAACAUUUCUUAGGCAUACACAAACCAGGAUUGUUUGGUAGUGCCUCAAGCGCGACUCAUGAAUGCGAUAGGCUGCCCUUGUUGACUCAAAACUACCCCUAUGUUGUUGCCAGAAGCGUCUGAUUCAAUGGUAAAUGGUUCGUUGAAAUCUGGCAUCACAAGUGUUGGUGUAGUAGUCAAGGCUGUUUUGAGCUCUUGAAACGCACUUUCAGCUGCAUCUGGCCAACCAAACUUGCCCUUUUUGAUAAGAUUGGUGAGAGGUCAGGCAAUAAGACCGUAGUUGCGAACAAAUUUCUGAUAAUAACCUGUAAGUCCUAAAAAACCACGUAACUCGAAAACAUUAGUAGGCCGAGGCCAAUUCAGCAUAGUUGUAAUUUUGUUUUGAUCCACCUUGACUCCUUGGGGAGUCACAAUAUGCCCCAAAUAUUCCAAUUAUUGCAAAUCGAAGGCACAUUUGCUGAAUUUGACAAAAAACUGAUGUUGUCGUAAUACUUCAAAAGCCUUUUUAAAUUGUUCAAGAUGCAUGAUCCAAUUAGGGCUAUAAAUUAAAAUGUCAUAAAAAAAGCUAGUAUAAAUUUACGAAGGUAAGGGCUAAAGAUGGAAUUCAUAAUGGCUUGAAAAGUAGAUGGAGCAUUACAAAGACCAAAUGGCAUAACCAAGUAUUCAUAAUGAUCAUUAUCAGUACGAAAGGCAAUUUUAGGAAUAUCUGUUGGAUGUACUCAUACUUGGUGGUAUCCUGCUUGUAAAUCAAGUUUAGUGAAAUAAAUAGCUCCAUGAAGCUCAUCGAGCAUGUCAUCAACUGUAGGGAUAGGAAAUCUAUCUUUGAUGAUUACAUCAUUAAGUGUUCUAUAGUCAGUGCAAAACCUCCACGAAACAUCUUUUUUUUUACCAACAAGACAAGAGAUGAAAAAGGACUAGUACUAGAUUUUAUUAGCCCCAAUUUUAACAUGUCAUGAACUUGUUUUUCAAUUUCAGCUUUUUAAAAAUAGGCAUACCUAUAGGGUCGCACAUUAAUGGGCGUUGUUCCCUCCUGUAAAAUGAUGUGAUGAUCUACUUCUCUUGUCGGGGGAAGUUGUGUUGGCUCCUGGAAUAAAUCUUCAAAUUCCUCCAAUAGUUGUUUUAUUUCCGGAUUGACACUCUGUGAUGUUGGACUAGCUGAAGAUUGAAGGCAAAUGGCAAACAUAGAACUACUUUGUUGCAAGUCCUUAGCAAUAGCUUUCAUAGAUGUGGACUGAAUUGAUGUAUCCAUCCCUUGUAAUUUAUGAGUUCGGUUGCGCCACUAGAACUCCAUUGUUAAUUGCUUCCAAUUACAUACCACAGUGCCCAAUUGUUUCAGCUAAUGGACUCCUAAGACCAAAUCCAACCCAACUAAUGGUAAAGCAUACAGAGUGAGGACAAAAGGAAUACCUUGGAGUACAAUAUGGACGUUUUCAAAUCUUCAUUGACAUUUUAAUGGCCCUCUAUUAGCCACCUUUUCACUGAUAAAAUUAUGAGUAGACCCGCUAUCAAUGAGAACAACCAUCUCAUAAGGUCUAAUAUUUGCCAACAUCUGCAUUGUUUUAUAUGUUGUUUGAUUAGUACUUAAAAGUGCAUUUUUAUCAAGGUUUUAUAUCAUCAUUUUGCACUUGAAGUAUCAACAACUCCUUAACUAAAGCAUGUUUUAUAAUAACAAGUCUGAUACCAUAAGAUACCUUUAAUUUAUGGUAAAUGUUCAUCUUAAAUGCAGGCCUAUCACAUAAAUGAAAGGAUUGAUUGAUGAGUUUAAGUACGAAAAUUGAAAGGACAAAGAGAGGGUCAAACUUAGAAAAGAUAUGCUGGUUCAGUCCAAAGUGGAACACUGUUCGGUCAUUGGGUCAUAUCUGGAGCUGUAGAUCUUAGAUUUAGGUCUGCCUUAUAUGGAUGGAAAGCUAAAACAUGGGCCUAAAACUUUCAUCAGAAGUCCAAGAUUUAAAAAGGUCGUUGUCAAGUGCAAAUUAUAGCAACAACGGAGAAGUCUGAAUCUGCCCUGCAGCCCAGACACUGUUUAGUGUUCAGCCUAUAUGUCGAGUUCUAGAAGUCCAAAUGACCUCAACUUUUCCUAGAAAGCUGAGACAAUUUCCUAGAACUUUCAUGAUUUAAGUCUGUUCAAAUUAUGAUAUUAUCAAUGAUGUUUUUGGCAGACAAGAAGAUAAGGAUUGUUAUCAAGUCAAGAUGUGGCCACCCACUCAACAAUUAGUCAACAAAUCAAUAGUUCUGAAUUUUAGCCUGUAAAAGGAGGCAUUUGCCAUGUAUUUAGGUAUCUUGGUUUUUAGAUCAAGAUCAUGCUCUUGCUCUCUUUUUAUAUUUUGUAAUGCUUAAGUUUUGCUUAUAUUAAUCUUUUGCUUAUGCUUUUCAUUUCCUUUCCCUGUUUAUCUAUGUUUCUCUCUUUCAUUAUGUUUAGCUAAGUUUAUCAUGUCAAGGUGAAAAGGUUACACUAAUGGUGUAAGAAUAAAUAUAAUAUAAACUCAACAUAGACCUUAAUGUUUGAUACUAACAUGUUUUAUAUUUGUUAUCUUGUUCACUUUUAAUACUUUGCUUGUUAAAUGGUUAAUCUAGAUUUAUGUUGUAUAACCCUUGGUACAACAAAUACUUGGCACAACAAAUACUUGGCACUUUCAUAACCCAACCGUAUGGUAUAACCAACACCUGUGCUAUGAAAGGAACUUGAUUUGUUGUUAACAUAAGUUAUAAUCAUGAAUGUCUGACAACAUUUACAAGUAUUAGCAUUAUUCGAAUAAGAUAACUAAUGUAAUCAUGUUAACAAUUUAUAAUCCGAUUGGAACCUCCUUUGUGUGUGGUUUCCAGUUGAGUAAUAAAAAGAGUUUACACUGUACUUGUUUGAAAUACCAUUAGUGGAUCCUCUAACCUUGACAAUUGCUUUUAUCAUUGUUUAAUCCUCACAUUAAUCUUCCAUCUCAAAGUUCUCAUCAACUUGUUGUUGUUGUUGUUGUUGUUGUUGUUGUUAUUGUUGUUAAUAUUACUAUUAUUAUUACUAUUAUUGUUGUUGUUAUUGUUGUUAUUGUAUUGCUGUAUUUAUAAUUUAUAUAGUUAACCUCUCUAUGGUUCGACCCCGGUCUUGUCGGGUUAUUUAUUACUUCAACACUCCUACACUUGGGAGAAGACAUCAAUCUUUUGGUCAUGUCAAGUUUUUGGCGCCGUUACCGGGGAGGUAAAUUCUUGUACAAAUUAUAGUAUUUAUUUUAUUUUCUCUUUUCACUUUAUCUAACUUUUGUUUCUUUUCUUUUAUUUUGUUUCGUUUUCUUUUCUUUUCUUCUUUUUAUUCUUUUCUUACAUGUGCAUAAGAGUUUGUGGUUAGACCCCGUUCUUGCCGGGUUAUUUAUUACUUCGACACUCCUACACUUGGGAGAAGACAUCAAUCUUUUGGUUGUGUCAAGUUUUUGGCGCUGUUGCCGGGGAGGUAAAUUCUUGUACAAAUUAUAGUAUUUAUUUUAUUUUCUCUUUUCACUUUAUCUAACUUUUGUUUCUUUUCUUUUGUUUUGUUUCGUUUUCUUUUCUUUUCUUCCUUUUAUUCUUUUCUUACACGUGCAUGAGAGUUUGGUCACGUACAUUAAGUGGUAGACUUUGUUGGGUAUCCUCAUCAGUUUUAGAAAAUAUGGUUUUAGAAAAUAUGGUCGAAGAAGAUAAUCAGUCGCUUCAUAAUGAGAAUAAUGAGAAUAACCGUGUGAGAACACUUAGAGACCACAUGAAUCCCACAAGAACAAGUGCACCCUCAUGCAUAGUUUUUCCUCCUAAUGCAUCUCAUUUUAAUUUUAAGCCAGACAUUAUUCAACUUUUACCUUCUUUUCAUGGCUUAGAUUUAGAAAAUCCAUACUUGCAUUUAAGGGAAUUUGAAGAGGUUUAUAACACCUAUAAUGACUCAAAUUGUAGCAUGAACACCAUCAGGUUAAAGCUUUUUCCUUUUUCAUUAAAAGAUAAAGCUAAAAAAUGGUUACAAAAUUUGAGACCUGGAUCCAUUCGUGCUUGGGAUGAAAUGCAACAACAAAUUUUAAAGAAGUUUUUUCCGUCUCACAAAACAAACUCUUUCAAAAGAUAAAUCAUCACUUUCAUUAAAAAAAACCAGGAGAAACGUUUUACCAAUGUUGUGAUAGAUAUCAAGACUUGCUUAGUACUUGCCCUCAUCAUGGUUUUGAAACAUGGAGAUUGGUUUCACAUUUUUAUGAAGGGGUAACACCUAGAGAUAGGCAAAUGAUUGAAUUGAUGUGCAAUGGAACUUUUGAGGAUAAAGACUUUAAUGAAGCAAUGGAGUACCUAGACUUGCUAGCUGAAAAUGCUCAAAAUUGGGACACUAUAGGCACUUAUGAGGCACCAAGUAAAACCCAACCUCAUACAUCUAGUGGAGGUAUGUACAACCUUAGGGAAGAUCAUGACCUCCAAGCCAAAUUUGCUUCUUUAGCUAGAAAAGUCGAGGCACUAGAAUUAAAAAAGAGUGGUCAACUAAAAUAUGUUCAAGACAUUGUGUGUCAAAUCUGUGAAACCAAUGAACAUUCAACCAAUGACUGUCCAACUUUGCCUUCUUUUAAGGAAUGUCUCCAUGAACAAGCUCAUGCUUUAAAUAGUUUCCAAAGGCCCAAUCAUAACCCAUACUCGCAAACACACAACCAUGGUUGGAGAAAUCACCUAAAUUUCAAUUGGAAGAGUGAUAAUAAUAAUGUACAAACUUCACAGCCACCGUUUCCAGCACACCAUAAUUUCCAAAAUUCUCAUGGAUAUGCACCUCCUUAUGCUCCACAUCCUAGAAGAAAUCUUGAGGAAACAUUGCAUGCAUUCAUUGAAAAGCAAGAGACAAUCAACACUCAACUUGCUCAAAGCAUGACACAUUUUAAAGAUACUCUUGCAAAAUUCACAUCUGCUCUCAGUUUUCAAGAGAAAGGUAAGUUUCCAUCUCAAGCACAGCAAAAUCCAAAGGGGCAAUACAAUGCAAAUGCAAGUAGUUCUGGAAGCCAACACAUGGAUCAAGCUAAAUCAGUCAUCACUCUUCGCAGUGGUAAGGUUAUUGAAAAACUCAUUCUUGAACCUUGUGAGAAAGAUGAUGAGUCAAUCUCUGAGGGUAAGGAAGGGGUUGAAUCUGAACAUUGUAAAGAAAAGACUGAUUCUUCGCCAGCACUUCCAUUUCCUCAUGCCAUGACCAAACAAAGGAAAGUCAAUCACAAUUCUGAAAUCUUUGAAACUUUCAAACAGGUAAGGAUCAAUAUAACUUUGUUGGAUGCUAUUAACAUGUACCUUCUUAUGCUAAAUUUUUGAAAGAUCUAUGCACUGUGAAGAGAAAACUGAACGUGAAAAAGAAAACCUUUUUAGCCGAACAAGUAAGUGUCAUUCUUCAGAACAAUAAUGUUUUGAAAUAUAAAGACCCUGGUUGUCCUACAAUUUCAUGCUUUAUUGCAGAACAUAAAAUUGAAAGAGCCUUACUUGAUCUUGGAGCUAGUGUGAAUUUACUUCCAUAUUCAGUUUUUCAAAGUCUCAAUCUAGGUGAGUUAAAACCAACUUCUGUAACUCUUUUACUUGCCGAUAGAUCUGUAAAAGUGCCUAGAGGAAUAGUUGAGGAUGUGUUAGUACAAGUCAAUAAAUUCAUUUAUCCUGUGGAUUUUAUUGUCUUGGACACACAACCUAUUGAAGCAUGUAAUUCAUUUCCUGUUAUUUUAGGACGUCCGUUUCUUGCAACUUCUAAUGCAUUGAUUAAUUGUAGGGAUGGACUGAUAAAGCUAUCAUUUGGAAACAUGACAUUGGAGAUGAGUAUUUUCAACAUUUGCAAGCAACCUGGAGAUGAUAAUGAUUUACAAGAAGUAGAUUUUAUUGAAGAAUUAGUUUAUGAUCAACUUGAAUCUACCUUGAGUAAAACUGAGUUUGAUGAAUCUAAAGAAUUGCAAAUGAUCUAUUCUCAGGAAGAAAUCAUGGAUGAAAAAGGCAUCGAAAAUAUUGAUGCAGAUCCUUUGUCAAGAGUGACAAUAGAUUUGACAUCUGACAUCACACCAAUCGAUGAUUGCUUUCCUGACGAAUCCUUACUUUCUCUUAGUUCAAUGCCUUGGUUUGCUAAAAAUAUCAAUUUUCUUGCUUCAGGAGAUUUGCCAACUCAUUGGAGUACCCAAGACAAAAGAAAGUUUUUGAACGAAGUGAAGAACUUUUAUUAGGAUAACCCCUACUUAUUCAAAUAUUGUCCUGAUCAAAUAUUUCAAAGAUGCAUUGCGGACAAUGAGGUAAGUAGUGUCAAUAAACUUUAUCAUUCUGAGGCAUGUGGGAGUCCUUUCUCGUCAAAAAAGACGACUGCAAAAAUCUUACAAAAUGGAUUUUAUUGGCCCACUAUGUUCAAGGACACACAUGCAUUCCGCAAAACUUGUGAAAAUUGUCAAAAAGUUGAUACUGGUCAAAAAGUUUUGCUUUAUAAUUCUCGACUCCAUUUAUUGUGAAACAUGUGUAUCCUUAUGGGGCCUUUGAUAUUGAGAAUCCAAAGAAUGACAAUGUUUUUAAGGUAAAUGGACAUCGUUUGAAAGCUUACUUUGAUAAUUUUCCUAUUGAAAAUGAAUCCAUUGGUUUGAAUGAUCCUGUAGAUAAAGGUUGAUUAUUUUGUUUUUCUCACAUUGUCUUGUGUUUUGUUUUGGUGUGAAUUUUGUUUUGCUAGUGUCUCUCCCCCCGGUAAAAUGGCGGAUAAUGGUACUCCGUGACUUAAGUCGGUUCUUUCAGUUUCCUAUAAUAACUGAUAUAUGUAUAUAUUUGUGCAAUUCUUUACUCUUUGUCCCUUCUUUGCAUCUCUUUUCCACUUCUCAUCUAAAAAAAUGAACACCACUCUUGAAAAAUUAAAAAAGUAUUUUCCCGUUUUGCCUCAAAAUGCGAUUCCAAAAAUUUACCGAGUUAGGUGUGCAAGAUUGAGGUUGUUAAUGAAUCAUGGAAUUAUUGAAAAUAUUCACUAGCUGAUUGAAGCAAAGGUCCGAUUAUCAGGUGAGUCCUCCAAUUCUUUCAUUUCAUACAUGCCUGGAACAGGUAAAAGCACUUUUGCAAAGAAACAUCGUGCAAAAUGACUAAAAGUCUGUCACCGAUGUGUCAGAUGGACUUGUAAUGCAACAUGUCAUUCUUUAGGAAUGAUAUCUAUAAAUCAUGAAGAUAAAAUACAAUUCAUUAAGGAUGACCUGAGUAAGGGGUAUGAUUAGUACUUAAAAGUGCAUUCUCAUUAAGGCUUUAUAUCAUCAUAUUGCACUAAAGUAUCAUUAAAUUCCUUAACUAAAGCAUGUUUUGUAAUAACAAGUCUGAUAAUAUAAUAUGUCUUUAAUUUAUGGUAAAUGCUUAUUUUGAAUGCAAGUAUAUCUCACAAUUCAAAGGAUUGAUUGAUGUGAUUAACUAUUGAAAGUGAAGAGAUAAAAAGAGGACUAAGCUAAGAGAAGAGAUGCUGGUUCAAUUCCAAACUGGAACACCAUUUGGUUAUUGGAUCAUAACUAGAGUUUUAGAACUUGGCUUUAGGUCUACUUUAUAUGGAUGGAAAGCUAAGAAAUAGACCUAAAACUUUCAUGAAAAGUCCAAGACUUAAUUCUGCCGUUUUCAAGUUCAAAUCUUAGCAACAACAGAGAAGUCAGAACCUGUCCUGCAGCUCAGACACUGUUCGGUUUUCAGUUCAUAUCUUGAGUUCUAGAAGUCCAAAUGAGCUCUGGUUUUUUUGUUGGAAAGCUAAGACAAUUGCCCAUAGCUUUCAUGGAACAAAGGGCUCAAAUUCUGAUGUUAGCAAUGAUGUUUUGGCCAGCCAACAAUAUCAAUAAUCAGCCAACAAUAUCAAUAACCAAGCAACCAACAAUGUCAAAAACCAGCCACCAAAUCAAUGGUUGGCCACCAACUAUCUUCUUAGUCAACCAAUCAAUAGUUCUGAAUCUUAGCCUAUAAAAGAAGGCAUUUGCCAUGUAUUUAGUCAUCUUAUUUUUCAGAUCAAAAUCAUCUUCUUGCUUCUCUCUUUGUAAUGUUCAAGUUUCCUUUCAUGCUAUAUUAAUCUCUUGAUUAUGCUUUUUCAUUUCCUUUCCUAUACUUAGUUAACUUAUAUCAUGUUUAUGUUCUUAUAUUGUUUAUUUAUGUUUUUCUUCUUCAUUAUGUUCAGCUAAGUUAAUUAUGUCAAGGUGAAAAGGUUUCACUAGUGGUGUUAGAAUAGGUGUCAUAUAAACUCAACAUGGACUUUAAUGUUUAUAUCCAAGAAAGAUUGUUAUUAACAUGUUUUAUCUUUUUAUCUUACUAAUUCUUAAUACCUUGCUUGUUAAAUGGUUAAUCUAGAUUUGUGUUGUAUAACAAUUGGUACAUCAAAUGCUUUAUCCUUCAUAGUCUUCGGCCGACAUCGUUAUUAUGAUAGCAACUUGAUUUGUUGUUAACAUAAGCUAGCAACAUGAAUGCCUGAUGAUAUUUAUAAGUAUGGUGUUACUUAGAUAAGAUGAUUAAUAUGAUCAUGUUAAUAAUUUAUAAUGAGCUAAUAAUGAUAAAUCAUCCGAUUGGAACCUCCUUUGUGUGUGGUUUCCAGUUGAGUAAUAAAAAAAGUUUAUAUUAUAUAUAUUUGAAAUACCAUUAGUGGAUCCUCUAACCUUGACAUUUUUUUUAAUAUUGUUUAAUCCUUACAUCAAUAUUACAUCUCAAAGUUCUCUUCAACAUCAAUAUCAUUUUAUUAUUUGUAAUUUAUACAAUUCACCUCUCUGUGGUUUGAUCCCGGUCUUGCCGGGUUAUUUAUUACUUUGACACUCCUGCACUUGGGAUAAGACAUCAACUCUUUGAUCGUGUCAGGGUCUUUAGAUAAUCUUCUAUUGACCCUUGAGACACAUCCUAGUGGAGAUGUGCAUCGUGCAAUUCAUGAUUUAUGGCCACAAUUCCAUAAAGAACAUGAUCGACUUAGUCUUGAAAAUUUGAUUAUAAAAGACCCUGUUUGCCAGUUUUUAAGAAAACUGGAUGGGAAGCAUAUCUACGACCCAUAAAGGGCGUUUAAGCCAUUCUUGAACGUAAAACCAAGGGAAGAUGUAAGCCACAAUCACAACUACCUGUACAUACACAUCCUUUUUCAAAAUAAAUAAAUAGAGAGAGAGAGGAAGUGAAACUCCAGCUGGCCUACAUAUAGGUGGUAUGAUUGCAUUUUCAAUUUCUCAUCUAUAAAAUCUUCUCUUCCUUCCCUUUAUUUCUACUCAACCCAUACAUUCAACAAAUAUAGAAGUGUGUAGAAAUGGCAGGUUCCUCAAGUCAUCACAUAAGAAAUAUUUGUGUUUUCGGUGGAUCCAGUCCUAGGAAAGAAAAAGAGUUUUUAGAAUCAGCAAAUCAUAUUGGUCAGGUACUGGCUGAGAGAAAAAUUCAUUUAGUGUAUGGAGGAGGCAGCCUUGAGUUAAUGGGGUGUGUGUCAAUAGCUGCAUUUUUAGGAGGUAGUCAAGUUUUGGGGGUCGUCCCCAAAGCUUUAGCAAAAGGGGACAUCAUUGGAAAAACAAUUGGAGAGGAACUACAUGUCUCCACAAUGUCUGAUCGAUUGAAUGCAAUGUUUAACCAUGUUGACGCCUUCAUUGCCUUACCAGGUGGUCUGGGCACAUUGGAAGAGAUCUUUCAUAUUUCCUCUUAGGCCCAACUGCAUAUUCACCAUAAACCUAUAGGUCUGUUAAAUGUUAAUGGUUUUUAUGAUAAUUUGUUGUCUUUUCUUAAUCAAGCUGUGGAACAGUAAUUUCUAACAUCUUCGGCACGACAAAUCAUAAUCUCUACUACUACUGCUGAACAAUUGAUUGACCAACUACAAUCUUUCAUCCCUGUAAUUGAUCCUUCCAUGAGUCGUAUAAAUUGGUCAACUAAGGAAAGCCGUAAAAAGCUUAGAUUGGAUUCGAGCCUUCGUUUGUGAAUCCUUGUGUCUUUUGGUUUUAUUAAUAGCAUAUUAUUUUGUUUUGUUAUUUCUUAUAUUUGUUUAAGUGUGUUUCAGGUUUGUCAGUGUUCGUUGUUUCAGGUGAUGUCUUCUAUACUCUGUCUUUCUACCUUAUGACAUUGAGGACAAUGUCUCGUUCUGGUUGGGGGGAGAGGGUAGUAGUUGACAAAAAAAAACUAACCAACUAACUGCUUUUGUUUUUAAUAAAACGAUUUGACAAAAUUGUAUUACUAGGAUGACAGAGUAAGGAGGAAUUUUAGUGACUCUUGAGACGCAUCUUAGUAAACAUUUUCCAAUGGUUAUUUGUAAUAUUCAUAACAAGGUCUAUCAGAAUACUUCUUGAAAUAUUCAGGUUUACAAACUCUCGCAUUGUUAUCACUUGAUUCUGCUCAUAUACUCAUUUAACAAGUAUUCCUAAACCUUCAUUUUCACACACACACUUUAACAUAUGAUUGUGGGUUGCACAUUGGAUUAUUACAUUAUUUAUGUUCUUUUGUUAAAAGUAACAACUAAGGGAAAGGGAUAGUAUAUAAUUUGCAAAAAAAAAAAACCAACAUCAAAUUGAUAAUAUUGAUGAUAAUAAAAACGUAGAUAAGUUUGGUUUUGUAGCCUCCCUAACCUAAGCAAUUAAGCCUGAAGCGGUGUUUUAACACCUAAUACCCUAAAGUCAACUGACUUGGGAGCUAUUGGCUCAAAGCUUGUUACAUGGGUUAAGGAGAAAAGCUUAAGGGAAUCAAACAUUGCACUAUCUACGUAUCAGUAUCUGCAACCCGAGUUACUAAGCUCGUAGGGGUGUCUCAACACCUAAUGCCCUAAGACCAACUGGUCUGGGAGUCAUUAGCUAAAAGCUCGUUACAUGGGUUAAAGAUACAUUGUGUUUUAAGUUAUAUGUAUAUUAAAAAAAAAGAUAAUAAUCCCAACCCAAGGAACUUAACCUUAAACAUUAGAACAUAAUAUUGUUUUCUUCCAAUAAAAGCCCCAUCAUCUAUGUUUUCAUACAUUAAGCACAUAAAAAGGAAGGUUUAUUAAUAUUUUAUUUCAGAGGUAUUGAGCAUAUAUAUAUAUAUAUAUAAUGAGAGUUUGUUUAUCUAGAUAGAUUAAUGGAAGUUGAAUGAUGAAUGUCUUGCUUUGUGGAAAUUGCAAAUUGUUUUUCUAUUUUAACGCUUUGAUUACUAGAGACUAGUAAUAAGCUGGUUGGGGGGUGUGAUUAGUACUUAAAAGUGCAUUUUUAUCAAGGUUUUAUAUCAUCAUUUUGCACUUGAAGUAUCAAUAACUCCUUAACUAAAGCAUGUUUUAUAAUAACAAGUCUGAUAUCAUAAGAUACCUUUAAUUUAUGGUAAAUGUUCAUCUUAAAUGCAUGCCUAUCACAUAAAUGAAAGGAUUGAUUGAUGAGUUUAAGUACAGAAAUUGAAAGGACAAAGAGAGGGCCAAACUUAGAAAAGAGAUGUUGAUUCAGUCCAAAGUGGAACACUGUUCGGUCAUUGGGUCAUAUCUGGAGCUGUAGAUCUUGGAUUUAGGUCUGCCUUAUAUGGAUGGAAAGCUAAGACAUAGGCCUAAAACGUUCAUGAGGAGUCCAAGAUUUAUAAAGGUUGUUGUCAAGUCCAAAUUGUAGCAACAACGGAGAAGUCCAAAUCUGUCCUGCAGCCCAGACACUGUUCAGUAUUCAGCCCAUAUCUCGAGUUCUAGAAGUCCAAAUGACCUCAACUUUUCCUAGAAAGCUGAGACAAUUUCCUAGAACUUUCAUGAUUUAAGUCUGUUCAAAUUAUGACGUCAUCAAUGACGUUUUUGGCAGACAAGAAGAUAAGGAUUGUUAUCAAGUCAAGAUGUGGCCACCCACUCAACAAUUAGUCAACAAAUCAAUAGUUCUGAAUUUUAGCCUAUAAAAGGAGGCAUUUGCCAUGUAUUUAGGUAUCUUGGUUUUUAGAUCAAGAUCAUGCUCUUGCUUUCUUUUUAUAUUUUGUAAUGCUUAAGUUUUGCUUAUAUUAAUCUCUUGCUUAUGCUUUUCAUUUCCUUUCCCUGUUUAUCUAUGUUUCUCUCUUUCAUUAUGUUUAGCUAAGUUUAUCAUGUCAAGGUGAAAAGGUUACACUAAUGGUGUAAGAAUAAAUAUAAUAUAAACUCAACAUAGACCUUAAUGUUUGAUACUAACAUGUUUUAUAUUUGUUAUCUUGUUCACUUUUAAUACUUUGCUUGUUAAAUGGUUAAUCUAGAUUUAUGUUGUAUAACCCUUGGUACAACAAAUACUUGGCACUUUCAUAACCCAACCGUAUGGUAUAACCGACACCUGUGCUAUGAAAGGAACUUGAUUUGUUGUUAACAUAAGUUAUAAUCAUGAAUGUCUGACAACAUUUACAAGUAUUAGCAUUAUUCGAAUAAGAUAACUAAUGUAAUCAUGUUAACAAUUUAUAAUCCGAUUGGAACCUCCUUUGUGUGUGGUUUCCAGUUGAGUAAUAAAAAGAGUUUACACUGUACUUGUUUGAAAUACCAUUAGUGGAUCCUCUAACCUUGACAAUUGCUUUUAUCAUUGUUUAAUCCUUAAAUUAAUCUUCCAUCUCAAAGUUCUCAUCAACUUCUUGUUGUUGUUGUUGUUAUUGUUGUUGUUACUAUUACUAUUAUUAUUACUAUUAUUGUUGUUGUUAUUGUUGUUAUUGUAUUGCUGUUAUUUAUAAUUUAUAUAGUUAACCUCCUUGUGGUUCGACCCCGGUCUUGUCGGGUUAUUUAUUACUUCGACACUCCUACACUUGGGAGAAGACAUCAAUCUUUUAGUCGUGUCAUUGUCCAUCCAAAGAGUGUAUGAAGUGAUAUUUCAGGUUGGAAUUCCAUUGAGCUUUCGAUGUCGUCUCCAUUAGGAUAUUCACAGCAGCCUUCUAGCAGUAGGAGUUGUGGCCCCUUGCACUUGUGACCAGGUGUGAAUUUCUCUUCACAGUUAAAACAUAGGCCCUGUGUUUGUCUCUUCUGCAUUUCAUCCCAGGAGAGCCUUUUCAUAGGCGGAGCUGUUUUAAAUCUUGUUGGUGGAUGGUAGUCUACAGUAGUUUGAUGGAUUGAUCAUGUACUUCUCCUUUGGUGGUUCAACUGCUCAUCUCGCAUUCGUGCAAGGCUGCUAGCUUCUUUUAAUGACUUUGGUUUGAACAUUCUUAUGCCAUCCGUUAUUUCAGGUUUGUGGCUACCCAUGAAUGUUCCUACUAAAGCUUUCUGUGGCCAUCCGUGCACCCGAUUACCCAGUCGUUCAAACUCCUUCUGAUACUCACAUUAAGAUCCUUCCUGUUUUACCUUUGACAAGGCUUCAUUAAAGUCCUCACAUUCAAUAAGACCAAACCUUGCCCACAGUUCUUCUUGAAAAAUGUCCAAUGUCACCUCCCUGCCUUCUUCUUUAUAAGAUUGUCUCAACCACUGCCACCAUUGAUUAGCUUCGCCUUGUAGGUGGAAAGAAGCUAGAGACACCUUUUGAGCUUCAGUGGUGCCUUGAAAUUCAAAGAAUUGAUCCACCCUUGUGAACCAUUUAGUAGGGUCAUCUCUAGAAAAUCGAGGGAACUCCAAACUAGCUAAUUUCGAAGAAAACAAUGGUCGUCCUCCUUCUGAAAUUUCUCUCGAUUCCUCUCUUAUGGAACGAGAACGUCCAUUAGGAGAGCUGGUAGUAAGGUCAGAAGGGUUGCUAGCUGAUGCAGUUUGAUUGGAUAAUAGGACUUCAGAGAGCUUGCUAAGUACAUCUUCUAUGUGGUGCAACUUGUCAGUAACACCAACCUCCAUGCGACUAAAACUGUUUUGGAGUCCACCCAGACCAGCUUCUAAACUCUCAAUCCUCUCCUUAUUUGUUCCCAUGGCUCUGAUACCAAUGAUAGAUCUCAAUCAGGCUAUGAAUAUUAUAGUGCAGAUAGUAUUCUACUUAGAGUGAGAAUUAACCGCAAGAGUUUUAUUUGGAAAAUAAGCUUCCUUUUACUGCUUUUGAAAGGGUUUAAAUACAAGAAAGAAAAUAACAACCACUCCUAAUUCUGAGAUCAUAUCUCUAAGAAUUAGGACACUGUCACAUUAUUGAAAAUCAAAUAAUAACUACUAGACCUAUUCCUAAGCAAGCAUGCUUUGUGGACAUGACCAACAACUUAGACCAAGUCUUUGGCGAACAUAACUUCUCCCUGCAUGUUUCUUGCAUAUGGAAAUUGCAUUAAUGUGACAGCUCUUAGUCGAAAUACUUUGGGUUUUUCACAGCCACUCUUACAGAUCUUCUUGGUUUAUCAGGGUAACAUUCCCCUUCUCUUCCUUCUUUUUGUCCCCUUCCUCAUCUUCGUCACCCUACCUGCAAAACGAGAAUUCAUUCAGCAUGCGGGGUGCAAAAUAAUUCACCCUGUAAUUGGACCGGGCCAGUUCUGGCCUAGACCAAAUGGCUUGGCCAGGUCCAACCCAACCUCCCAAAAAAAAAAGAAGACCUCUUGGGCUGAUAUCGGCCCACUCUUUUCUGGGUCUGAGCUCGGCCCAGUUAUCUGGGCUAGCCCAGCCCAGCCCAGCCCACAUGUUUUAAUAAUAUUUAAUUAAUAUAUAUUAUAUUAUAAUAUUAAAAAAAAAACGAAAAUUUUCCAAAAUUUUUUUAAAAAUCCUUUGAAAAAAUUUGUGAUUUUCUCGCAUAUUUUUCCACCAAUUUUGCAUAAUAUCGGGUUCGUAUACUUACAUUGUAAGAUACAGAUUUGGUAUUAAAAUACCUAGUUUUCUCCGGAACUUUUCUAAAAAAUUUCAAAAAUAAAAAAAAAUCUCAAAACUUUUAAAUUAAUUUCUUAUUUCAAAAAUAUAUAAAAAAAAUUUGUUUCUAUGCAUACGGCUAAAAUCCUAAAAUUUUCCAAGCAUAUUUUCAUAAAAAAAAAUGCAUCUUUCUCAUGUUUUGAAAAUCCAAGAAAAAAUAGAUAUCGUAACCAGUUUAUGAUUAUCCAUUAUGGUUUGGCCAAAAUAUCAAAAAUCCUUUCACCAAUUUUUUUUAGGGUCUAGAUGUAGAUUUUAAGAUAUGUGGGGUGUAAAAUUACACGAUAAAGUAUACCCUUAGGUAUUAAAGAUACAAGGUGUAAAAAUAUGAUGCUAAAAUUCAGACUUUAAAACGGUUAGGAUUUAACUCAAUAAGGUAGAGACUUUCUCACGAAGAGAGAUCUACCUUGAACCUUAGAAAAGACCAACGAAUAAAAAUCCGACUAAAAAAAAACAACCAAACAACAAUGCAGCUUACCUUAGGUAGGGUGCACUGGGGGUUCAUGUGUCUUCUCCUUGCACAACCAGUCUCUUUCCCAGACUCUCACAAACCAUAGAUUCCUAGUGAUCAUAAUACUAGGUGGCGACCCCUGAACAUUAAUCAUAAUUUUAUGAUUAAAUCCAAAAACUCUUCCCAACACACCACACCUCAUCAGGAGGCACGAUAAAAGGCUCUGUCGUCGCCGAAUGACGCGACGUGACCAUCAUACUUCAAAUAUUGAAAAUAUUUUCAUUAAAAAAGGGAUGUUCAAUGUAGAUGAAAAUGAGUGAGAGAUUUAUUGGAUACAUAUAUAUAAAAAAGGGAUAUAUAUAUAUAUAUAUAUAUAUAUAUAUAUAUAUAUAUAUAGUAAAUAUUCCACGUGUUGUUACUGAGAAAAGUAGAAAUUGAUCCAUCACGACUACUACCACAAGUUCCAAUAGAGGUAAAAGAAGAUUUGACUUUGCAAGUAAAGCUAGUGAGGAUCUUAGAUCAAAACUAGAAGGAGCUGA